rnacentral:lncRNA from 1 species
UGAUAAGAUAAUUUGUAACGGGUAACAAGCAAUGAAAGUAAAUAAGGUGCAGCAAGGUGGCCCAAUCCUUUUUGUAGCAAAGGACAAUCCUGGAGAAUUUCUUAUAAUGAGAAAAGCGCUCCCGAGGACACAUGGGAAUUAUCGUCAAGCCAGUUUCAUCACGCUCGUAUGAUUCGUGUUUGUUACUUUGAUAAUUUGAUAUGUGGGUGGACCGGUGCUUGGGUACUGCCCUUUCUUCAACAAGCAUCCCACUUAUGAUUAACCCCUAUUGCAAGCAUCCGUAACUACAAAAGAAGUAUUAAGGUAAACCUAACCAUAGCAUGAAACUAGUGGAUCCAAAUCAGACCCUUACGGAGCAACUUAUAAACUAGGGUUUAAGCUUAUGUCACUCUAGCAACCCAUCAUCUACUUAUUACUUCCCAAUGCCUUCCUCUAGUCCCAAAUAAUGGUGAAGUGUCAUGUAGUCGAUGUUCACAUAACACCACUAGAGGAGAGACAACAUACAUCUCAUCAAAAUAUCGAACGAAUACCAAAUUCACAUGACUACUAAUAGCAAGACUUCACCCAUGUCCUCAGGAACAAACGUAACUACUCACAAAGCAUAUUCAUGUUCAAAAUCAGAGGGGUAUUAAUAUGCACUAAGGAUCUGAACAUAUGAUCUUCCACCAAGUAAACCAAUUAACAUCAACUACAAGGAGUAAUCAACACUACUAGCAACCCAUAGGUACCAAUUUGUGGUUUUGGAUACAAGAUUGGAUACAAGAGAUGAACUAGGGUUUGAGAGGAGAUGGUGCUGGUGAAGUUGAUGGAGAUUGACCCCCUCCCGAUGAGAGGGUCGUUGGUGAUGACGAUGGUGAUGAUUUCCUUCUCUCAUAGGGAAGUUUCCCCGGCAGAACAGCUCCGCCGGAGCCCUAGAUUGGUUCCGCCUAGGUUCCGCCUCAUGGCGGCGGAGUUUCGUCUCGUAAGCUUGCUUAUGAUUUCUUUCCAGGGUAAAAGACCUACUAUAGCAGAAGAUGGGCACCGGAGGGCCACCAGGGGGCCCACAAGACAGGGGGGCGUGCCCAGUAGGGGUGGGCGCGCCCCCACCCUCGUGGCCAGGGUGUGGGCCCCCUCUGGUACUUUCUUUGCUCAAUCAUUCUUAUUAAAUCCAAAAAUGACUUUCAUGGAGUUGCGGGACUUUUGGAGCUGUGCAGAAUAGGUUUCCAAUUUUACUCCUUUUCCAGCGAGAAUCCCAGCUGCCAGCAUUCUCCCUUUUCAUGAUAAACCUUGUAAAAUAAGAGAGAAUAGCCAUAAGUAUUGUGACAUAACGUGUAAUAACAGCCCAUAAUGCAAUAAAUAUCGGUAUAAAAGCAUGAUGCAAAACGGACGUAUCAGCUUGUUAAGGUCCUUGCCUUCGGGUGGACUCUGCGCUACAAUAUCGGUGGACGUCAUCUUCGCCUAGUAUAUUUUGACACGGGCCAGGGCCAUCCGUGCACCUUCUAUGCACGUUGACCACUUCAUAGCAUCGAUAUGCGGCACCGCAUCAACAAGUCGCCACACCAAACAGAAAUAAUUACUCAGAAUUGUCUCAAUCGGCUAAAGCCGGGCUAUGGUGUCCUUCAUGGCAGUUCCGGACAUCCUAUGGAGCUUGGCCCAUUGUGCCAUCUAUUCGUUCAACAGUGGACACUUUGGAUGUCAAAUUGCAACCAAAAUAGCUUUUCCGUCGCAUGUCCUUCUUGCGCAUGAAAAAACCAGUUCGCAUCGGUAGCACUCUUCAGCAGGUCCAAAUAGGCGUCUGGGGAACUCCAUAGUUGAUUAAGCGGAGCAUACUUCGGAUCGCCAAACUUAGUUUGCAAUAAAUAGGGCUUACCAGCCGCGAUCUCCCCAGCCUGUCGGAUCUCCUCCCGAGCUGCCCUGGACUCAGACCGAGCUUCCUUUGCCUCUUGUACGGCCUUUUCAAGAUCAGCCGCUUUGGCUUUGUUAUCUUUCUCAAGAACUUGGUAUCAACCAAUGGCAUCCUCCAGCUCCAGUGCCAUAGUAGAUAUUCUCUCCUCGCACUGACGCCGAGCAAUCUGCUCGGCCUUCAAAUCAGCAGCCGCCUUUUAGGCAGCCGCAUUACCCAUCCUGGCUUGCUCCUUGGCCCGGGCUAGCUCAGCCUGAAGGGUCUCAAUGGCGGUGGCACCAUCUGCAGUUAACCAUAUUGCAAGUCUCAGCGUCACGCUCAUAUUUCUAAUACUUGUAUAUACUGUCGUCCCCGAAUACAUUCCUUGUGCCUCGUCGAGUCACCUAUUAAUAAGCGUGAUGUCAUCAUCCGCUACAUCAACUUUCUGCUUCAGAUGUACUACCUCUGUAGCUUGGGCAGUUGCCACGGAUGUAACAGCCUGUGUUUCAAAUUAGUCCGAUCAUUUCCUGGGCAUACAUUUUUUAUCCUCUGAUCGCCUCCCUUUGGAUGUCAAUCAGAGUCUCAAGGGCUACUAUCUAUAUACAGGUGCAAUUUGCAUUUAUAACAUAAAAACAAUUACAUUACGUACCUCAAAACCUCUUAGCGGGCUCGUAAAGGCUUCAUUCAAUCCACUUUUCGUAGACCGAACUCUUUCAACCACCGUACCCAUCAAGGUGCGGUGCUCCUCUGAGACGGACGCAUGUUGCAAUAUGUCCAUCAAUGUAUCCGGCGCCUCCGGAUGCUGGACAGGUUGUGCAAUUUCUCGGACAUUGGAUAGUCCAGGACUUUUGUUGUUGGUUCCAGUAGGGGCUGCACACCUUGGACCUUGGGCGGCCGAAGUGUUACCUUCAGGCUCGACCCUCGCUGCCUCUCGCGCCACUCGUUGAUCGGGAAAGGUCCUCUAGGAUGACACCUCGUCGUCAUCUGCCUUAUCACACAGGGAGAUCUGUGGAGGCAUCUCGCUCUCCAUCAUCUCCAGAAGGAGACCCCCGAAGAGGAGGACUGCUGAGGAGAAUUGUGUAUCGGACUGUAAAACAUAUAUUGUAAACAUUGCUCCUACAACCAAUAAAGAACAGGGUAUGUUUAAAACACCCUGGUUCACUUACGAUUCGGCUAAAGGCCUAUCUCUGUGAAGUGAUUGCGUGUCAGCGUCACCCCCUGACUGGGAUUUCUUCCCCCGCUUAGAAGUUCUUUCUUCAAGUCUUCGGAGGCGUCUCGCUUCCUCCCAUGAGGAGAAGGGAUGUCAGUUUCUCCUUCCCUUCCGCCUUUGAAAGAGGAAGUCCCAAUUUCCCCAGAUAAAUGGCUUGGUGUGCCUCGAGAGGAGAGACUACCUUGGGCCUCCUUGUUGUUCUCCUCGUCUUCCCUCACCAGCGCUUGAUAGGGUGCCGGAGCCAGCAUCCUAGUUAACACUGGAUCCGCUGAGUCUUCAGGAAGAGGAGCUGAACACCUAAUUCUCUCCGCCUUCUUUAGCCAGCCCUGGCCGAGUAGAGUUUUAUCAGUACCUUGUUAUAAGGAAUUUAAUGAAACUGUGUUCAGAAAUUAAGUACUUAUCGGGGAAUCUGGAUGAUUGCAGUCAAGACCAAUGUCUUCUGUAGUAUCCGGCCACUUUUUUGUGUGCCGGAGAACAAUUUCCACAUCUCUUUGAGCAUUAUACCAGAAAAAUAUUGAAGAGUCUGUGGACCUUCCGGAUUGAACUCCCACAUGCGGAGACGGCGUCACUGGCAGGGUAGGAUCCAGUGGACUAGCAUUAUUUGGAUUACAUUGAUAAGACCGGUGUACUUCUCAAUGAGGCUCCAAAUGCGGCUUUGUAGCAUCCGCACUUCAUCAAUAGAUCCCCAGUCCAGCCCCUUGUUCACCCACGAUGCUAGUUGUGGUGGAGGGACAUAUGGAAAUGCGGGUGUAGCCGCCCACUUACCGCGGGAUUCAGUGAUGUAAAACCACUCCCGUUGCCAUAGGUCAGUAGAGUCUGCGAAGGAGCCCUUUGGCCAAGGAGAAUCGAUGAGCUUGUUUAUUAAAGCACCUCCGCACUCCGCUUGUUUCCCGUGUACUACCUUUGGUUUCACGCUAAAGGUUUUAAGCCAUAAGCCAAAGUGUGGGGUAAUGCGGAGGAAGGCCUCACACGUGAUGAUAAACACCGAGAUGUGAAGGAAAGAAUCUGGAGCUAGAUCAUGGAAAUCUAAUCCGCAAUCAAACAUGAGCCCUCGAACGAAGGGAUGAAGAGCAAAACCUAGCCCUUGGAGGAAGUGAGAGAUAAACACAACCCUCUCAUUGGAUCUAGGAGUAGGGAUAACCUGCCCUUGAGCAGGAAGCCUGUGAACGAUUUCUGCGGUCAAAUACCUUGCCUCCCUGAGCUUCGUGAUGUCCUCCUCUGUGACAGAAGAGGCCGUCCAUCGGCCGUGGAGGCUAGAUCCGGACAUGGCCGGAGGUCCGAAGCGACUGGGUUAAACUUUGGGUGUUGGAACUUGAGGUGGGAGGAAGAGAGGAUUAGCGGGGAAAGAAAAAGACAGGUCUUGGCCUCCUUAUAAAGACGACAAAUAUCAAACGUCCCCUACAUGGCCUUAAAACAUGCCUAUUCCCAAGGAAUCAUACCAACAGAACGGCUGAGUUACCCAAGCCCGUGUUGAUGAGAAUCCCGUGAUAAGGGGACACGAUCUCUGCUUCGACAAGACGUGCCAAUAGAACCGCCUCGCGAAGCGUGGAGUAGCAGGCUGGAUAAAUGAUUCGAAAUAAUGGUCGGACGAUGACGUAAUGUCGCGUCGCAAAGAACUCCAAGCGGAUUGGAUUCAUGAAAAUAUUAUACUCUCUACGGUUGUGUGUGGUAUUUUUUUGCAAAGCCGGACAUGAUUCUUGUGUUCAAGAUCUACUUUGAAGUAUUUGGAGAAGGAACCCGCCUUGCAAUGUCGAAGACAAUCUGCGCACCGGACUCAUCAUCAUUGAAGCCUGGUUUAGGGGCUACUGAGGGAGUCCUGGAUUAAGGGGUCCUCGGACAGCCGGACUAUAUGCAUGGGCCGGACUGUGGGGCUAUGAAGAUACAAGAUAGAAGACUUCGUCCCGUGUCUGGAUGGGACUCUCCUUUGCGUGGAAGGCAAGCUUGGCGAUUCGGAUAUGUAGAUUCCUUUCUCUGUAACCGACUUUGUGUAACCCUGGCCCCCUCCAGUGUCUAUAUAAACUGGAGGGUUUAGUCCGUAGGACGAGAACAAUCAUAAGCAUAGGCUAGCUUCUAGGGUUUAGCCAUUACGAUCUCGUGGUAGAUCAACUCUUGAAAUACUCAUAUUCAUCAAGAUCAAUCAAGCAGGAAGUAGGGUAUUACCUCCGUAGAGAGGGCCCGAACCUGGGUAAACAUUGUGUCCCCCGCCUCCUGUUACCAUUAGCCUUAGAUGCACAGUUUGGGACCCCCUACCCAAGAUUUGAUGGUUUUGACACCGACAGCGGCCCCCUUUCCUUCAUCUCUUCCACCUCUUUCCCCUUCCCCCCUUCUCCGAAAAGGAAGGGGGAAUCCUACUAGGACUGGGAGUCCUAGUAGGACUUCCCCCUUGGUGCGCCCCUAUAGGCCGACCGCCUCCUCCCCCUCCUUUAUAUAUGGAGGUAGGGGGCACCCCAAAGUACAACAGUUAUUCUUAGCCAUGUGUGGUGCCCCCUGAGGGAGUCCUGGAUAAGGGGGUAUCCGGACAGCCAGACUAUAUACAUCGUCCGGACUAUAGAGGCGUCAAGAUACAAGACUCAAGACUUCAGCUCGUGUCCGGAUGGAACUCUCCUUUGCGUGGAAGUCAAGCUUGGCGAUCCGGAUAUUAUGUUUCCUUCCUUGUAAACCGACUCCAUGUAAACCCUAGCUCUCCGGUGUCUACAUAAACCGGAGAGCAUGGUCCUUAGAAGGCCGAUCACAAUUACAAUCAUACCAUCAUAGGCUAGCUCUUAGGGUUUAGCUUGGCCAGUUGGACCAGAUCGACAGCUUCGCCCCUGGCCACCAGAUCAGGUUCGGAAACUUGAACUACACGGCAGAUGUCUGCGGAGACUUGAUCUUCGACGGAUUUGAGCCUGCGCCGGGAGCGCCGGACAGCCACGACGAGCAUGUCCUAGACCUGCUAUCGGACAAUGCCCGGGACAUCAUCCCCAAGGCAGCCCCGGAUCUAAAUCUAGGGCAGGUUGCGUUGCCUACGGACGGAGGGCUAGACCCCGCCCCGCAGGCCGCACACUUAUCAUCCGUGGAGCCGAACACGGGUCUCACCUCUCUGGAGGCCUGUAACCCUGGGGCCCCGGACUCAUAUCCGGUUGUUGGUCCUGGUCCGCUAACUCUCGAGCCAGCCGAGCCAGGCUGGGCUCCGGUAAUGGAGUUUACCGCUGCGGACAUCUUUCAGCACUCGCAUUUUGGCGACAUGCUGAACUCAUUAAAGUCUCUCUCUCUGUCAGGAGGCUCUGAGCCGAACUAUGUCCGGCUUGAGUGGGAAGUAGGCGACGAAGGAAUUCGCUACCCACCCACCACCCACUUUGUCGCCACGAUCGAUGAUUUAACCGACGUGCUCGACUUUGACUUUGAAUACAUCAGCGGUAUGGACGACGAUGCAGGAGACAUACAGGAGCCACCGCUCACAUGGCGGUGGAUAGCCACCUCUUCAUAUGAUAUAUAUAUGGUGGACACUCCAAAAGAAACCAACAGCGAUGAGGCAACGGAGGAUAACCCCUCCAAGAAGAAAGCAAAGCAUGGGCGUCGCCAGCGCCGCUCCAAGCCCCGCCAAGGCAAUACCGGCGCCGUAGAUGAUAAUAAUCCGGACGGUGCCGACGAUGAAUACAACCCCGAACAGUCCGCCUUCGAGCAGGCCGAACAGGAAGACAAGCAUAACAGCCCAGAUGAACAGGUGAUCGACGGGUAUCCGGAGGACGACAACUACAUGCCCCUCUCUGAAGAUGAGAUUAGCCUCGGCGACGACGAGUUCGGCGUACCCGGAGACCCCGCAGAGCAGGAGUGCUUCAAGCGCCGGCUUAUUGCCACUACGAGAAGCCUGAAGAAGAAGCAGCAACAGCUCCAAGCUGAUCAAGAUCUGCUCACACACAGAUGGAGAGAAGUCCUGGCAGCCGAGGAAUACGGACUCGAGCGCCCCACGGCUGACCGACCACCUCGAGGUCAGGACAAAAUGGCAUAUCAGCCGAAAUACCAGCCCGUACCCCCGCGCCGGUUUGCUACGGCCCGGGGCAAUACUCAGGACCUGCGCGAUAAACUGGAUAACACCGCAGGACAACCAAGAUCGAUCUACGGAUCACGGGGGCGCGCCGAAGCACAUGACGAUGACCGUCAUAUCGGAUACACUAACCGCAAAUCCGGCCAGGCCGAAUACAACCAGUCAAACGUAGCAGGACUAUGCCGUGACAUAGCUGGACAUAGAGGCACCGCACACCCCCUAUGCUUCACUAAUGAAGUGAUGGAUCACGAAUUCCCAGAAGGGUUUAAACCCGUAAACAUCAAAUCAUACGAUGGCACCACAGACCCCGCGGUAUGAAUCGAGGAUUUCCUUCUCCACAUUCACAUGGCCCGCGGAGAUGAUCUACAUGCCAUCGAGUAUCUUCCCCUUAAGCUAAAAGGACCUGCCCAGCACUGGCUAAACAGCCUGCCCGCAGAUUCCAUUGGCAGUUGGGAAAACCUGGAAGACGCAUUCCUUGACAACUUCCAAGGCACAUAUGUGCGACCUCCGGAUGCCGAUGACUUGAGCCACAUAACUCAACAGCCCAGAGAAUCAGCCAGGAAAUUCUGGACUCGGUUCCUAACUAAAAAGAACCAAAUAGUCGACUGUCCGGACGCCGAAGCCCUAGCGGCUUUCAAGCAUAAUAUCCGUGACGAGUGACUCACCAGACACCUCGGCCAGGAGAAACCCAAGUCCAUGGCAGCUCUUACGACACUAAUGACCCGCUUUUGCGCGGGCAAGGACAGCUUGUUUGCUCGCAGUAGCACUACGCCACAUUCUAGAACUUCAGAUGUCUGGGACAAUAAUGGCAAGCCACGGCGCAACAGACACAAGCGACGGAACAACGGUGACAGCACCGAGGAUACGGCGGUCAAUGUUGGAUUCAGUGGAUCGAAAUCCGGUCAGUGGAAGAAGCCAUUCAAGCGUAACAAUCAAGGAUCGUCCAGUCUGGACCGUAUACUGGAGCGCUCGUGCCAAAUUCAUGGCACCUCGGACAAGCCAGCCAACCACACCAACAGAGACUGUUGGGUCUUUAAACAGGCCGGCAAAAUAAACGUAGAAAACAAGGACAAGGGGCUACACAGCGACGAUGACGAUGAGCCUCGGCGUCCGAACAUGGGGGGCCAGAAGAAAUCCCCCCCCCCCGAGGUGAAAACGGUCAACAUGAUCUACGCCACCCACAUCCCCAAGCGGGAACGGAAGCGAGCACUACGGGACGUAUAUGCGAUGGAGCCAGUCAUCCCCAAAUUCAACCCAUGGUCAUCUUGUCCGAUCACCUUUGAUCAUAGGGAUCAUCCUACUAGCAUCCAUCACGGUGGCUCAGCCGCAUUGGUUUUAUACCCAAUUAUAGACGGAUUUCACCUCACAAGAGUCCUUAUGGACGGAGGCAGCAGCCUGAACUUGCUUUAUCAGGACACAGUGCAGAAGAUGGGCAUCGGUCCUUCAAGGAUCAAGCCCACCAAAACCACCUUUAAAGGUGUCAUUCCUGGAGUAGAGGCCCGUUGCACGGGCUCUAUAACAUUGGAAGUGGUCUUCGGAUCCCCGGAUAUUUUCCGAUGCGAAGAGCUAAUCUUCGAUAUCGUCCCUUUCUGAAGUGGCUACCACGCCCUGCUCGGACGAACCGCAUUUGCUAGAUUCAAUGCAGUACCACACUAUGCAUACCUCAAGCUCAAGAUGCUAGGCCUGCGAGGGGUCAUAACACUCAACGGGAGUAUGGACCGCUCUCUCCGUACAGAAGAACAUACUGCGGCCCUUGCGGCAGAAGUACAAUGCGGCCUCCUCUGGCAAACCACCAAUCCGGCGAUGACAUUUUCAAGCUCCGUCAAGCGAGGAUGGAACACCCCGCAGCAAGAUUUGCAGGCACGACAAGAGCAGGACUAGCAGUCCGGCCUCCGCUCAAAUCCCAUCAAAGCAGCAUUCGUGCCACGCGUACACAAUUACACACUCAAAACACCAUGGGCACAGGCGGAGUCGUAUCAGGGGCUCAGUCAAUAGUACGGUAUCACUUCAUAAACUUUCCAUUCACCUUUAAGGACAUUGCUUUAGUGCAGCUUCUCUAGAAUAGCCGAAUUGUCGGACUUACAUAGGAGAGGAAACCCAAGAGGCAACAGGCUUUGGGCACAGCAGGAAACACCCAGGUGGAAUCUAUUUACGAUCAUCAUUCCUGCUUUAUCUAUCUGUACGUAGCCUGCCCCUAGAUAGGAUAUGUCAAAUCAUCCUAUUUUGUCUCCGCUUAAUGCAUACAUUGUAAACAUAUGCUUAAACGUACUAUUUAUCAAUGGGAGACCACACGUAGCGUCAGCUUACUUAUUUUUAUUUGAGCAUUUUUUAUAAAUUUCUAUUUCAUUUUGCAUCCGUACACUUUGGUACGUGUAGUUUGCCAGGGGCUUCUUAUGGUACCCCAUAAUACGGCAAGUCAAGUCCAAACACUUUCAACAGUGCGGCACCCCGAACUUAUAGCAUUAUAUGCAUCAGCUCUGAAUCAUGUCUUGGGUUAUGGUUGGUAUAGCCCGGCUCCCUUGCUUUGGUGCCUUACGUUCCGUUAAUUCGGCUAAGGUACCGCAGGGAGAACUACUGCGGUUGUGCCCUGGUUCUGCCGGACGAGCACCUCAGUAGAGAAAGCACAAAACUGUCCGACAUGAUGUGGUGAGAGACUGGUCGCUAUUCGAGAGGUCUUAAAAUCCUUAAAGAUUUUUCCUGCUUUAGGCGUUAAUUCGGCGUUUUCUGAUAUAGGCGUGUAUAGCGCCCCAAUUCGGCCUUCCGGAUUCUAGGGGCUUCGCCGAAAUUUAAAAUCAUAUACUUCUAUGGCUAAGUGAAGGUUAUAAAGUUGUAUAGUCCGAUUGCCUAGUUCGCUGCGCUGGACACCUCCUUAAGGGACCAAACAUUUGGAUAAAGAGUGUCCGGGUUUUCCACGAAAACCCCAGUACUAGUUACACGGGGGGCGGAAGCCGACGACUGGCCUACAUUCAGAAUUUGAUAAACAGCCGCACAGAAGGUAAUAUUUUAAAUCACAUAAGCGCUACAUAGCGCAAGUAACUUCGUCUUUAAAUUACAAACAUGACAAAAGUGAAUUCAUUCAAAAAUUAUGUCUUUGGUACAUUCAUUGGCCACGAGGCAAGCACCCUUCAUAACGCCAUCAUAAUACUUCUCGGGGACGCGAUGCGGCUUGCCCUCCGGUGGCCCGUCCUUCACCAGCUUCUCCGCAUCCAGCUUGCCCCAAUGCACCUUGGCACGGGCAAGGGCCCGGCGGGCACCCUCAAUGCAAACGGAUCGCUUGAUGACUUCCAGUCGCGGGUAGGAAUCCACCAUCCGCUUGAUCAGGCCAAAGUAGCUUGUGGGCAGAAGCUCGCCAGGCCAUAUCUGGACUAUGAGAUCUUUCAUAGCCACUUCGGCCGCCCUGUGGAGUUCGACCAACUGCUUUAGUUGGUCACUCAGAGGUGUUGCAUGCUGAGCCACAGCAUACUGGGACCAGAACAACUUCUCCGUUGAGCUCCCCUCCUGGGCACGGUAGAACUCCGCGGCAUCUGAUACGCUGCGUGGCAGGUCUGCAAAUUCCCCUGGAGAGCUCCGGAUUCGAGUAAGUAAAAGAAACGCCUCCUCCACAUGUUUGCUUUGCAUAAAAAAUUUGUUACCUGCCGCUAUUUUCUUGGCCUCCUGGAUCUCUUCUUGAGCCCUCUCGGCUUCGGCCUUGGCGUAUUUCGUAUUUGUAAGGGCUUUCGCAAGCUCGGCCUCCUUUGCUUUAAGCUCCCGCUCCGCAGACUCGAGCUUCUUGCCGAGCUCCUGGAGCUCUCCUUGUAUCUCGCCCACUCGGGCCUCUUGCUUUUUGCGCUCCUUGAGUUCCAAGGCCGCUUUGUGUUCGGCCUCGUACAACGCCUUCUUGAGAGACGCCACUUCGGUGGCGGCCUCUGUUACCACAUCACGACGUCUCGUUGUUAGCAUAAUCAAAUUUUAUUUACUAUUUAUUAUAUGAGAGAGGGAAAUCAUUUACCUUUGUUCUCUUCGAGCUGCCUCCUCGCGAGGCAGAGCUCUCCCUAUGCCCACUCUAAAUCAUGCGUCAGGCUGGCGAUUUCGGCCGUGCGAGCAGCAGUGGCCAGCAGCACAACCUGUUUAUUUACAUUCAACACUUAUUGUUAGAUUCCUGUGGAUUAUAAUUGACCCUCCGUUUGGUUUUUCUUUCCGAACACCGAACAGAGUAUCAGGGGCUACUACCUAUCGGGUGGUGAUUUUACACAUUUUUACUGCUUACCUCAAAGCCUGUUAGGAGGCUGGUGCAGGCUUCGGUUAGUCCGCUCUUGGCGGACGAAACCUUCUGAAUCACCGCACUCAUGAGAGUAUGGUGCUCUUCAUCUAGGGAAGCGCUUCCAGCAGACAAUCCGGCGCCUGGGGCGCAACAGAAGUCCUUGAUAUAGACGGCCCUCCCUCCAUAACGAGGGGCUGCCCGCCUAAGUCCGGAACCACUGAAGGCUCCGGAACAGUGUUGGGCUGAGAGCCUGGCUUGCCGUGGCUCUCAUCGACACGAUCCGCGGGGACCUUGAACCCCGCGAGUCCGACGCUUGGGACGCCGCCUUGAGGCGCCUCCAGGGCCACCCCCGCCAUCAUCGGGAGCCUUCGGGACAACACCUUAGUGUCGUCCGUAGGACGAGGAGACAUUGCCGUCGGGAGUGAGUUCAUUGCUGACUCACUCAAGGACCCAUCCAAAGACGACACUCCCGGAUGGGCCCUGGCCGGACUGCAUACAAGUUUAGCAUUAUAAACAAAAUUAUGAAGCAAAAAUUACGAUUGAGUGCGGAUACUUAUGAUCGCACAAGGGGCUUCUUCCUGGGCAGCCACCCUUCCUCGCUAUUGGCGGUGGUGGCGGAGUAGUCCGAAAGGGAUGCCUUUCCCUUCUUGGACGUCCCAGUCUCCCCCACCGGGGUGGCCUUCCUCUUCUUCCCUCCCCCGACACGGGGAGGUGGUAUUUCUUCCUGAUCCUCCCUGCCUCCGUGGGAGGAAUUUGCCUCGUCGUCGUCGGACGACGAGGGUAUGACGGCCAUGCACCGGGGGCCUCUCCUGGUCCCCUGGUCUGCCGUCUCGGGCCCCCCAUCCUGUCCGGAUAGGGCGGCCUCUUCUUCUUCUCCUUCUUCCCUUUUGGGGGAGGAGUCUUCCCCGUCCUCUUCGGAUGAGGCUUCUGGUGUGGCCUUACGCCGGAGACUCUUUCGGGUCCCCGGGGCCUUCUUGUUGGCCUUCUUCUCCGGCCCCUUGUAGGGUGCCGGAGCAAGCAUCUCCAUCAGGAGAGCAUUAGCUGGGCUUUCCGGCAGCGGUGCCGGACAGUCAAUCCGCUCCGCCACCUCCACAUAGUCCUGAAACGAAUACACACGAUUACUUGAGGUUCCCCCGCAAUUAUACUGGGAAGGACUGAAUUCGGUGAUGGCCUUAGAACUCACCUGAGUAGGUUGCUGUGCGGCAUGGAGCCCGCGGUCCUCGGAUACGGGAGGAGGAACUUCGGAAGCCUUGAACAGCACCUUCCACGCCUUCUUGUGCUUCAUGCCAUAGAGCCUCUGAAGCGUCUGGUGUUCGGCUGGAACGAACUCCCAUAGAUUGAAUGCCCGCCUUUGGCAUGGCAAAAUCCGACGAAUGAGCAUGACCUGGAUCACAUUGACAAGCUUGAUUUUCUUGUCCUUCAUGCCUUUGAUGGAGGUUUUGAGUCCGGCCAGCUCUAUAGAUUCGCCCCAGGACAGGCCCUUCCAUUCCCAGGAAGUGAGCCGCAUAGGGGUUCCGGAGCGGAACUCAGGGGCCGCCGCCCAAUUGGCGCCGCACGGCUCGGUGAUGUAGAACCACCCCGAUUGCCACCCCUUCACGGUUUCCGCAAAGGAGCCGUCAAGCCAGGUAACCUUAGGCAUCUUGCCCACCAUGGCUCCUCCGCACUCCACUUGCUGGCCACUCACGAUCUUCGGCUUCACGCAGAAGAUUUGCAGCCACAAGCCGAAAUGAGGCUUGAUGCAGAGGAAGGCCUCGCACACGACGAUGAACACCGAGAUGUUGAGGACGAAGUUCGGAGCUAGAUCAUGAAAGUCUAGCCCGUAGUAGAACAUAAGCCCGCGGACGAAGGGGUGGAGUGGAAACCCCAGUCCACGGACAAAGUGGGAAAGGAACACGACCCUCUCGUGGGGUCCUGGAGUUGGAAUGACCUGCCCCUCGUCUGGUAGCUGGUGCGCUAUGUCUGCGGCCAAGUAUCCGGCCGCCCAAAGGUUCGCGAUCUUCUUCUCUGUCACGGUGGAAGCCACCCACUUGCCUCCUGCUCCGGACAUGACUAACUGUGCGGAGAAGACCUGGACUAGGGCGCUGGAGCUCGAGGGGGCAAGAGUAUGCGAGGGGAGGAAGAAGGUGGGGGUAAAAUGAGGAACUCUUAUCCCUUUAUAGAGGCGAAGAAAGCGGUGCGCCUCCCCACUAGCCUGUUGAGAAUCGCUUACUUCCCAAGCGCCACGAUUGAUGGCACGGGGGGCUUACCCAUACCCGUAUUGAUGAGAAUCCCGCGGUAAGGGGACAUGAUCUCUGCUUUGACAGGACGUGUCAAGGAAACCGCCUCACAAUACGCGUUGUGGCUGGUUGUGAAAAAACGGUUCGAGUAAUGACCUGGCCCUAAUGGCAUGUCACGUCGUCUAAAAGUUGUCAGCUGGAGUAGCAUUCUCUCUACGGUGGUAUGUGAAGAUCAUUUUGCACAUCCGGACACGGUCUACGUGCUCGAUGGUAACCUUGGAGUAUUCGGAAGGAGGAACCCGCCUUGCAAUGCCGAAGACAAGACUGCACGCCGGACUCAUCGUCAUUGAAGCCUGGUUCAGGGGCUACUGAGGGAGUCCUGGAUAAGGGGGUAUCCGGAUAGCCGGACUAUAUACAUCGUCCGGACUAUAGAGGCGUCAAGAUACAAGACUCAAGACUUCGGCUCGUGUCCGUAUGGGACUCUCUUUUGCGUGGAACACAAGCUUGGCGAUCCGGAUAUUAUGUUUCCUUCCUUGUGAACCGACUCCAUGUAAACCCUAGCUCUCCGGUGUCUAUAUAAACCGGAGAGCAUGGUCCUUAGAAGGCCGAUCACAAUUACAAUCAUACCAUCAUAGGCUAGCUCUUAGGGUUUAGCCUCUACGAUCUCGUGGUAGAUCUACUCUUGUAUUCCACAUAUCUUCAAUAUUAAUCAAGCAGGAAGUAGGGUUUUACCUCCAUCGAGAGGGCCCGAACCUGGGUAAACAUUGUGUCCCUUGCUUCCUGUUACCAUCAUCCUAAGACGCACAGAUCGGGACCCCCUACCCGAGAUCCGCCGGUUUUGACACCGACACCCUCCUCCACCGUUUACUCCUCCGAUAGUAUCAUUGUAGUGCUUAGGCAAAGCCAUGCACAGAUCACAUUAUCAACACUGUCAUCACGUCGUCGUGCUGAUGAAACUCUACCUCGACCCUCUGCUGGAUCAAGAGUUCGAGGGACGUCAUCGAGCUGAACGUGUGCUGAACACGGAGGUGCCGUACGUUCGGUACUUGGAUCAGUUGGAUUGUGAAGACGUUCGACUACAUCAACCGCAUUAACAUAACAAUUCUGCUUUCGGUCUACAAGGGUACGCGGACAUACUCUCCCCCUCUCAUUGCUAUGCAUCUUCUAGACAGAUCUUGCGUGAUUGUAGGAAUUUUUUUGAAAUUAUGUGCUAUGUUACCCAACACCGUUAUGUGAUGAAGUCAGAGCAUGAUUUAUUUAUUGAUUGUCCUCCUUAUGAGUGGCGGUCGAGGACAAGCGAUAGUCUUUUCCUACCAAUCUAUCCCCCUAGGAGCAUGCGUGUAGUACUUCGUUUUGAUGACUAAUAGAUUUUUGCUAUAAGUAUGUGAGUUCUUUAUGACUAAUGUUGAGUCCAUGGAUUAUAAGCACUCUCACCCUUCCACCAUUGCUAGCCUCUCUAGUACCGCGCAAAUUUUGCCGGUAGCUUACACCCACCAUAUGCCUUCCUCAAAACAGCCACCAUACCUACCUUUUAUGGCAUUUCCAUUGCCAUUCUGAGAUAUAUUGUCAUGCAACUAUCCACCGUUCCAUUUAUUAUGACACGCUUCAUCAUCGUCAUAUUGCUUUGCAUGAUCAUGUAGUUGACAUCGUAUUUGUGGCAAAGCCACCGUUCAUAAUUCUUUCAUACAUGUAACUCUUGAUUCAUUGCACAUCCCGGUACACUGCCGGAGGCAUUCAUAUAGAGUCAUAUUUUGUUCUAAGUAUCGAGUUGUAAUUCUUGAGUUGUAAGUAAAUAAAAGUGUGAUGAUCUUCAUUAUUAGAGCAUUGUCCCAGUGAGGAAAGAAUGAUGGACACUAUGAUUCCCCCACAAGUCGGAAUGAGACUCCAGACGAAAAAUAAAAAAUAAAAAAAAGGAAAAAAGAAGAAGAAAAAAAGAGGCCAAAUAGCCCAAAUAAAAAAUGAAAAUGAGAGAAAAAGAGAGAAGGGGCAAUGCUACUAUCCUUUUACCACACUUGUGCUUCAAAGUAGCACCAUGAUCUUCAUGAUAGAGAGUCUCCUAUGUUGUCACUUCCAUAUACUAGUGGGAAUUUUUCAGUAUAGAACUUGGCUUGUAUAUUCCAAUGAUGGGCUUCCUCAAAUUGCCCUAGGUCUUCUUGAGCAAGCGAGUUGGAUGCACACCCACUUAGUUUCUUUUUGAGCUUUCAUACACUCAUAGCUGUAGUGCAUCCGUUGCAUGGCAAUCCCUACUCACUCAUAUUGAUAUGUAUUGAUGGGCAUCUCCAUAGCCAGUUGAUAUGCCUAGUCAAUGUGAGAUUAUCUCCCUCUUUUUGUCUUCUCCACAACCACCAUAUUCUAUUCCACCUAUAGUGCCAUAUCCAUGGCUCAUGCUCAUGUAUUGUGUGAAAGUUGAAAAGGUUUGAGAACAUCAAAAGUAUGAAACAAUUGCUUGGCUUGUCAUCUGGGUUGUGCAUGAUUUAAUACUUUGUGUGGUGAAGAUGGAGGAUAGCCAGACUAUAUGAUUUUGUAGGGAUAACUUUCUUUGGCCAUGUUAUUUUGAGAAGAGGUGAGUCAAUAUUAAACUUUUGUUUUGAAUCUUAUGGAUCUAAAUAUUCUUGCCACAAUAAAGAAGAUUACAUGAUAAAUAUGUUAGGUAGUAUUCCACACCAAAAAUUCUGUUUUUAUCAUUUACCUACUCGAGGACGAGUAGGAAUUAAGCUUGGGGAUGCUUGAUACUCUCCAACGUAUAUAUAAUUUUGAUUGUUCCAUGCUAUUAUAUUAUCCCUCUUGGAUGUUUUAUAUGCAUUUAUAUGCUAUUUAUAUGAUUUUUGGGACUAAUUUAUUAACCUAGAACCCAGUGCGAGUUUCUGUUUUUUAUUGUUUUUGAGUUUAGCAGAAAAGGAAUAUCAAACGGAGUCCAGUUGACCUGAAAAUUUAUGGAGAUUAUUUUUGGAAAAAAUAAAAAAUAUUGGAACAAAAAGAUACCAGGGAAGAGUCCCGAGGCCACCACAAGGGUGGAGGGCGCGUCCCUCCUAGGGCGCUCCCCAUACCUUGUGGCUGCCUCGUGGGUCCCCUAACUUGUUCCCGACGCCAACACCUCUUAUAUAACCCCAAACCUCAAGAACAGAACCUAGAUCAAUAGUUCCGCCGCCGCAAGCCUCUGUAACCACAAAAAACCUCUUGAGACCCUGUUCCGGCACCCUGUCAGAGUGGGGAUCCAUCACUGGUGGCCAUCUUCAUCAUCCCGAGGCUCUCCAUGACGAGGAGGGAGUAGUUCACCCUCGAGGCUGAGGGUAUGUAUGAGUAGCUAUGUGUUUGAUCUGUCUCUCUUGUGUUCUUGAUUUGGCACGAUCUUGAUGUACCACGAGCUUUGCUACUAUAGUUGGAUCUUAUGAUGUUUCUCCCCCUCUACCUUCUUGUAAUGGAUUGAGUUUUCCCUUUGAAGUUGUCUUUUUGGAUUGAGUCUUUAAGGAUUUGAGAACACUUGAUGUAUGUCUUGCAUGUGCUUAUAUGUGGUCACAAUGUGAUAUUCACGUGAUCCACUUGAUGUAUGUUUUGGUGAUCAACUUGUGGGUUCUGUGACCUUGUGAACUUACGCAUAGGGUUUGGCACAUGUUUUUGUCUUGACUCUUCGGUAGAAACUCUGGGGCACUCUUUGAAGUUCUUUGUGUUGGUUUGAAUAGAUAAAUCUAAGAUUGUGUGAUGCAUGUCGUAUAAUCAAACCCGUGGAUACUUGUGGUGAUAUUGGAGUAUCUAGGUGACAUUAGGGUUUUGGUUUAUGUGUGUCUUAAGGUGUUAUUUUAGUAUGAACUCUAGGGCUAUUUGUGACACUUAUAGGAAUAGUCCAAUAGGUCGGUCAGAAAGAAUAACUUUGAGGUGGUUUCGUACCCUACAAUAAUCUCUUCGGUUGUUCUCUACUAUUAAUGACUUUGGAGUGAAUCUUUGUUGCAUGUUGAGGGAUUGUUAUAUGAUCCAAUUAUGUUAUCAUUGUUGAGAGAACUUGCACUAGUGAAAGUAUGAACCCUAGGCCUUGUUUCAAAGCAUUGCAAUACUGUUUUCGCUCACUUUUAUCGCUUGCUACCUUGCUAUUUUUAUAUUUUUAGAUUACAAAAACCUAUAUCUACCAUCCAUAUUGCACUUGUAUCACCAUCUCUUCACCGAACUAAUGAACUGAUAUAAUUUACCAUUGUAUUGGGUGUGUUGGCGACACAAGAGACUCUUUCUUAUUUGGUUGCAGGGUUGUUUAAGAGAGACCAUCUUCAUCCUACGCCUCCCACAGAUUGAUAAACCUUAGGUCAUCCACUUGAGGGUAAUUUGCUACUAUCCUACAAAACUCUGCGCUUGGAGGCCCAACACGAGUCUACAAGAAGAAGGUUGCGUAGUAGACAUCACUCUUCUCCAUUUACAACAAGUGCAACACACAAAUCUUCCUCCUUCAAGUCUUCCAUAAACUCAUAAGAGGUAUGGGAGAUAGUUAACAUAGUUUUUCCCUCCUCCUUAGAGGUAUUACCUUCAGUUUUUUUGGUAGAAUAAUGAUCUUUCUCUUGUUCCAAAUGAAAGAUUAAGAAUUUUCCUUGCGCUUGCAUGUAGUAUCCACAUCAAAUGGCCAAGGCCUCCCAAGAAGAACAUGGUUGGCAUCCAUAUCUACUACAUCACACAACACAUUUGAGCGAUAAUGCUUACCCAAAGAGAGUGGCGGGUUGCAUUGUUUGGUGAUCAUCAUAUUCACUCCUUUCUUGACCCACCCAAUAGUGUAGGGGUUUGGAAGAUCAUGAGUCUUAAGCUUUAAUUCGCUCACCAACUUCUGGGAGAUAAGAUUCUCGCAGCUGCAACUAUCAAUCACUAAUUUGCAUACCUUUCCAUUCACCGUGCAUUUGCUCUCAAAUAUUUUCUUCCGUGUGUCGCCGGGUUGUGGUGUGAAACACAAGAGACGCUGAAUCAGACAUGUACAUCUUCACCUUCUUUUUGACAAACAUUUUGUCCCUCUACAUCUUCAUAUACAUUAUUUUUCCUCAUUGUUGUCUUGACCAUCAUGGAUACUUGUGUUAACAAAUUUCCUUAGUGUGCAACUGCUAGAUAUGCGUCAUUUUGGUUCUUCAUUGGACUUACCCUUGCUUCUAGUUUGCUUAUGGAUCGGUCAUUUUGCCUUUCGUGGAGCGGUCUUUUCUUCCACUCUCUUAGGCUGACUCCUAGACAAGCCUUCAGUAUGGGGAUAUGGAGCCUUAGUUGUAUCUCUGAUCCUCACAAACCUCUCGGCCUUCAAGGCUAGAGCUUGCGCUUGAUCAAUGGACUAGAUUUGUUGCAUCAUCAAUCAAUCUUGAAUAGUAUCAUUGAGACCUUUGAUGUACCUUGCAAAUUUUUAAUAUUCAGUUCCGACAAGGUUGCACCUCACUUGUAGCCUUAAAAACUCAUCAGUGUAAUCUGAAAUAGUCCUAUUUCCUUGAGCACAAUUUUGGAACUGGAUAAAUAGGAUCUAGUCAUAACACUACAAAAAAAAGACACAUCCGUGACAUUUUGGGCCGAACGAAAAAAAAUUCUGUCAUACAUAUGACACUUCUAUGACGAUAAUUGUGACAAAACCCGGUAUCAUCAUAGAUGUGGUGGGCUCCUACUUCUAUGACAAAAAAUCAUGACAGAAAAUGGGCUUUUCGUCCUGGGCGGGCCGGAGACGCAGCUGCAUGACAUUCUUUGGGUCAUCCAUGAUGGAAAAAAACGUGAUAGAAGCGAGGGGGAGGAAAAUUUCGGGGAGUUGCCGGUUACGGUGGGAGGUCGGGGGUGGAGCGAUGUGCGUUCCUCUCGUACGUACGCGCAUGUGUGCAAGGCGUUGGCUCUAACUGAAGCCGAGCGAGGCGUUGGGCUCUAACUGAACCCGAGCGAUUGCACUGCAGGCUACGUGUUACUGAACCCGAGCGAUCGAUCGAUGGCCGUUAACUAAACCCGAUGGAGCGAUUCCUUCGCUACUGCUGCUAACUGAAGCCGAUCGAUGCUGCCUUUGGGAUGAGUAGUGAGCAUUGCGGGGGGGUUUGGAUGAACAGUGAGCAGUGGCAUUGCCUCUGGAUGAACAGGAACCCGUGGUGUGGAGGGCUGGAUGAACAGUAGACGAUGGAGGGGUGGCCGUGGAGGGGUGGUUGAACAGGACCCCGUGGUGUGGAUGGCUGGAUGAACAGUAGACGGUGGAGGGGUGCCCGUGGAGGGGUGGUUGAACAGUAGCCGAUGGAGUAGCGCGCGGUGGAGGCUGGAUGAACAGGAGCCCGUGGAGGCUGGAGGAGGUCGACGGUAGCCCGUGGAGGCUGGAGGAGGUCGACGGUGGAGAUGAACAGUAUCUCGGGGAGUCCCGUUUUGCAGUACGCCACACCCCUCCCUCCCCCCCCGUUUCGACCGUAGCGCUCCGACACAAGUCCAUUUCGUCCGUUUUGUGGUACGCCACACCCCUCCCGAUCAACAGGAACCCCGUUUCGGCUGUAGGAGGUCCGUUUCCUCCGUUUUGCGGUACGCCACACCCCUCCCGAUCAACAGGACCCCCGUUUUGACCGUAGGAGGUCCGUUUCGUCCGUUUUGCGGUACGCCACACCCCUCCCGAUCAACAGGACCCCCGUUUCAACCGUAGGUUUCCUCCAUUUUGCGGUACACCAGGCCCCUCCCGAUCAACAGGGCCCCGUUUCGAACGUGGCCGGUCGAACACAAGGCUGUUUCCUCCGUUGUGCGGUACGCCAGGCCUCGUUUCCAGCGCCUGUUCCAUCCAAGCCCUCCCGAUGAACACGACCACGCAUUCCGUUCCAACCCAGCCGGUUGGCUCCCCAUGAACACGACGACGACGUUGUUUCUCCGUUCCGACCCAGCCAUGUACGUAUGCAUGAGUAGGCGUUCGAGCCCCUGCCCGUAUGUACGUACGUGGCCGUAUUUUCUUUCUUGCACCCUCGCCACUGUACGUACAUGUACAUGCUACGUGCGCGCCUCUACUACGACACGUGCGCGCCUCUACAUCUACGACACGUGCGCGCCUCUACAUCGACCAGUAUGUACGUACACGUUCGCGACCAGAAUGACAACGCUACGUACGCUUCGACCAGGUGGGUCCCGAAUGUCAGGCACUUCCUUGCGUGCGAAGAUGUAGCUGGUGGGUCCCAGCAGUCAAGGGGGCGAAUCGUUUUUUUUUGCCCGGACGCACUUCCUUGCAUGCGAAGGUGUAGCUGGUGGGUCCCAGCAGUCAGGGGGGAAAUGUUUUUUUCGCGAAAUAUGGUGGCCCGUCCAGUGGGUCCCCGCCGUCAGGUGGAGGAAUAAUUAUUUUGCACGUAAUAAGGAGGCACUUCCUUGCUGUGGCCGUGGACCCAGCUGUCAGCCUCUCCACAUAUAGUCCAUGUCCGAUGGAAGUCAUUCCUUGACCACAUUGACCACGCCGCGCCGAGAGCACCAGGGCGGUGGACGACGCGGAGCCGGGGAACACGCCGCAGUGGAUGCCCACGCGUAGAGGAGUACGAGGGUUCACUGGUUCGCUGCGGUGUGAGGUUGCCGUCGCCGCAGAAUAACAGGGGGUGUGGGUGAGUAGAGGGAUGGCCUGGCCAGCGGUGGGAGUAGUAGGGGCGACGAGGCCUCCGCUGCAUCGCAGUCGGCCACGGGAGGCAGGAGCACGAGGCAUGACCGGCGCUGGUUUGGGCGGCUGGAGCAAGAAGACCAGAGGUUGAAGAAGCACUACGGCUGUUGGAUGGACAUCGUAUGGUCACUAGAGCUAGAAUCGUGCAUAUUGACUAAGUUGACAAAGCCCUCCGUCCCUGUCAACUUAGUAGGCCCACAAGUCAGCCUGCCACUAUACUGGGUCCCAGCUAACAGGGCGAGUAUUCAUUUUUUUGUGCGUAAUAAGGAGGCACUUCCUUGCGUGCAAAGAUAUAGCUGGUGGGUCCGAGCUGUCAGCGGCGAUAACGUUUUUUUCGCGAAAUACUAAGGCCCUUUCGGUGGGUCCCCGAUGUCAGGUGGAGGAAUCAUUAUUUUGCACGUAAUAAGGAGGCAUUUCCUUGCGUGCGGCCGUGGACCCAGUUGUCGGCCUCUCCAUGUACAGUCCACUUCAGAUGCAAGUCGGUCGUUCACCAUGUUGACCAGGCCGCGCCGAGAGCACCAGGGCGGUGGACGACGGCGAGGCCUAGGAAGGGAACGACACGGAGGCAGGGAAGACUUAGCAGUUGUUUCCCACGCGGAGGGGAGUACGAUUGAACGAGGGUUUACUGGUUCGUCUGCCGUCGCCGGAGAAUAACAGCAGGUGUGGGUGAGUAGAGGGAUAGCUAGGCCAGCGAUGGGAGUACGGUGGGGCGGUGAGGCCUGCGCGGCAGCACAGCCGACCGCGGGGAGGAGGGAGCAGGCAGUCCCGCCGGCGCUUGUUUGAGUGGCUGGAGCAGGAAGAGCAGAGAUUGAAGAAGCACGACGGCCGUUGGAUGGCCAUCCAACAGUCACUGCUUGUGCGUCAACCUUUUUUUAGGAAAGCCUCAAAUCUGUGGAAAACAGCGUACAUCCCAUCUGCCAUUAUUUCUAAUAAUUUACAGCCCAUUUGCUAAUUCUUAAGGUUUUGUUUGGAGCCCAUAUUCUUUUUGUUAGCGUUACAGCCCAUAUUGUGGUCAUGGUUAAAAAAUUAUACGAAAUUUUGCAUAUUUCGGUGCGGUCCGAACUGUUUUUAAUCCCGAAAUUUCGACUCACAUUCAAACUGAAUUUAAAACUAAAUGUAUAUCAAUAUAAAAUCCAACAAAUUCUCCAUGCAUAAAAAUUAAUUUAAUUUAAACUCUCAAAAUGAAAAAAAAAAUUUGAAACUAAUUGCCGCUUUGAUGUGUUUUAAAAAUGUACAGCCCAUUUCUCAUUACUAAUGGGCCAUUUUCUCGGUCAGCCGAAUGAAAGCUCUCCUUGUCUUGAAAGAUUUGCAGCCCAACAGGCCUGACAAAGCGACUUACUUGGCAAAUCACAAAAAAACUGGGUUGUGGCCAUGGACCCGGCUGUCAGCCUCUCCACGUACAGUACUCUUCCGAUGGAAGUCGUUCCUUGACCACGUUGACCACGCCACGCGGAGAGCACCACGGCGGUGGACGACGGUGAGGCCUAGGAAGGGGACAACGCGGAGCCGGGGAAGACACGGCAGUGGAAGCCCGCGCGGAGAGGAGUACGAGGGUUCACUGGUUCGGCUGCGGUGUGAGGUUGCCAUCGCCGUAGGGCCUGGCCAGCAGUGGGAAUAGUAGGGGGCGGUGAGUCCUCCGCGGCAGCAAAGCCGGCCACGGGAGGCAGGAGCAUGAGGCACGACCGGCGCUGGUUUGGGCGGCUAGAGCAAGAAGACCAGAGGUUGAAGAAGCACUAGGGCCGUUGGAUGGACAUCGUACGGUCACUGGAGCUAGAAUCGUUCAUAUCGACUAAGUUGACAAAGCCCUUCGUCCCCGUCAACUUAGUAGGCCCACAAGUCAGCCUCCCACCAAGGUGGGUCCCAGCUAGCAGGGGGAGUAUUCAUUUUUUGUGAGUAAUAAGGAGGCACUUCCGGUGGGUCCGAGCUGACAGCAGGGGGGACGUUUUUUUCACGAAAUACGGUGGCCCGUCAGGUGGGUCCCAGCAGUCAGGGGGCAAACGUUUUUUUCGCAAAAUACGGUGGCCUAUCCAAUGGGUCCCUGCUGUCAGUUGGAGGAAUCAUUAUUUUCCGCGUAAUAAGGAGGCACUUACUUGCUGCGGUCGUGGACCCAGCUGAGACUCUUCAUGUACACUAUACUUCCGAUGGAAGUCGUACCAUGACCACGUUGACCUCGCCGCAUUCCGUUGCAUGCAUGCGUCCAUGGGCGUGGUGCGUCCCCACUGUUAGCCUCUCACGUACAGUCAUCUUCCGAUGACUCUCGGUUGUUGACCAUGUUGACCACACCGUGCCAAGCACACCCAUACUGGAACGACCCGGAGAUGAGGAAGACGGGGCAAUGGAGUCGCAGAUGGAGAGGAGUGGGAAACUUCACUGGUUCGGGUGCGCGGCAGCACAGCCGCGGUGCCACCCACGGGAGACAGGAGCAAGAACAGAGGUUGAAGAAGGAGCACGGUUGUUGGAUUAAGAUCCAACGGUCCAGCUGCUAGAAUCAUUUGUUGAUUAAGUUGACAAAGCCGUGCGUACACGUCCACUUAGCAGGCCCACAAGUUAGUCACCAAAUCUGACGGCUCCCAGCUGUCAACGGGAUGAAUGAUUUUUUCGCAAAACAAGGAGGCACUUCCUUCUGUGUGAAGAUACAGCCGGUGGGUCCCAGCUGUCAGGUGGAGGAAACAUUUUUUUCAGCUUAAUAAGGAGGAACUCUCCUUGCGUGCGACCAUGGACCUCGUGGGUCCCAGCCGUCAGGCUCUCCACGUACAGUCCUCUUCCGAUGACUCUCAUUUGUUGACCACGCCGCACCGAACACAGCGAGGCGGUGGACGAGGUGAGGCCCCGGACGGGAACGACUCAAAGAUGGGAAAACGCGGCAGUGGAGUCACAGAUUGAGAGGAGGAGAAGGGUUAUAACUGGUUCUGUUGCAAUUCAUAUCAAACUCAGGUUCACAGGACACGUUCAUAUUCAUAGCCAACAUUCACUAUCAAGAACUCAAAAGAUUCAUAUAUACACAAGCUCAGCAUAUCUAUGCAUCCAAAUGAUUGAUAGAUCACACGACAAUAUUCAUACAUAAUUCACAAAAAGAUUCAGAUAUACACAUGUUCAGUAUGUUUAUGCAUCCAAUGAUCCAAAUGAUUGAGAUCACAGCCAAUAUGAUCCAUGGACGAACUUUAAUUACCUAGGGUACAGACUGGUAAAUGGUGUUCAAUCAGAGGUACUUCUUGCUAAAAUUAGUUCUUGUACGAGUAAACUUUCGAGUACAUAAGAGGCAGCACAGACAAUCUGAACUUUGCUUGUAGGUUUAUCCUCAAAUAGUGGCCUCGUACCGACGGAGGUUUGAGCAACUUGGCCACUACUUUCAUCCAACUAGUUUACUGGCUCAUCUUGGUCCUGUAUCUCGCCAAAAUUCUACAUUGCAGAUGAGAAAGGAGGCGGUUGAGAAAAUGAAUCACCCAAAUUUUUUGUGCAGUUCAACUGAAAUAGAGCAUCCUUGGCGUGCAGACUGAUUAAGUCCCAGAUGAAUAUACGUGUCAACCAACUUGUCCAGAAUCUUUAGACUCCAUGCCAUAUAGUUCGCUACCAUAUGUGCCGAUAACCAAAAGGCACAAGUUGGGACCACAAACUGGACUGCGUUUUUCUGGGCUAUGCACCAAGCAAUAUUUUGGCGUUCACUCUCCUAAUACUUGGAGUUUGACAAUUGGUUCAGGCCGGUUGAUACUCGAAUGAAUAUAGGCACUUCUUGUCAACAUCGAUACUUGUCUGAGUGAACUUUGGAGUACAUAGCAGCAGCAUAAGUACAUGUCCAUCUGAUCAUUUUGUGUAGUUCUACUGAAAUCACCCGAUGUAAUGAUUUGCCUGCGAGUUCAGGAUCCAAAUUACUCCUUUAUGAAAUCGGCAAACAGUAGCACAAUACCAAAUUACCAAUACAUAUGACAGGCACAAUAAUCAGGAUAAAGACCAGUACCAACCUGUGUGAGGUAGCAUAUCAAUUACUAUUUCCUUUGACUGGAAGCCGAGAUAAGCCAAGCGACUGACAGCAAAGGAAGAAAGCAAGCGGAGAUUAGCGACUGACAGGAAAGGACGGAAGCUGUCAAGGCAAUGAAGCACCCAAAGUUUUUGUGCAGUUCCACCAAAAUCAAGCAUCCCUGUUGGCACAUAUAUUGAGAGAGUGAGAUUACUGUAAUAGUGGGACUAGUUGAUGAAACAUACACUAACAAAUAGAAGCACCCUCAUUAUCUUAAUGGGUAAAGUUAGCAACAUAGUAGUCUUGCUUAAAGAGAGGUAUUAGUUUAUUUAAUCAGUGCCAAUUAGCUCAACUCAACACUCAAAGCAUUGCCAUUUAUCAUAGGUUGCAAAACUUAAAAGUGCAAAGAUAAAGGAGUUUCUCAUGACAGUAGCACGAUACAAAUAGAGAUGACAGCAAACUAAUAUGGAUGAAGGCCUUAGGCCCGUACCAACCUGAGAAAAAAAGCUUAUUCAUGUAGUCACAUAAGAGAUGAUAAAGCACUCACUGGAAUCACACAAUAGUAUAUAUUUGUGUGCACUUCAAAUGUAUGGUUGAAAUCACUCUUGUUUACUAGUGCUGAGAUUAUAUUGAAAGAUUAUCAAGAACUUCCAGCAGAGUUAAAGCAAUGGCUGGGAUACAGUUCAUUGUAUUGUCUUAUGUAGUUCCACUAAAAUGUAUGAUUGGCACAACAUGAUCCCUGUUUGCACAAGUAGGAACAAGGUGAAACCUUCACUAGCUUAGUGAGAAAGGAUAGGAAGACAUUAGCAUAUUACUCAAACAGUAGCAUCAAAUUCAUGAUGGACAAUAUGCAAAACAUUGCCUCAUUGAACCAAUGGCAAUAAAUUGACAUGCAAAACAAUAGCACUAGUAUGUCAUGACACUAAUAAUAUUCCCUCCCUGCUCCACCACAUGAUUCACCUCCAUAGACAAACAUUCACACGUACAUGAUUCAGCAUAGGGUCCUACUAAAGAUUUGUUUAACUCCAACAGGAAAAUUAGGCAGUAAUAAAUUAGUGGUACUUAAGUGCUCCUAAUUAAUUAAGUGAGACAGCAGAAGUGGAAGGGCUCCCUGGAGGAUCGUCUCACAUGUAAGGUAGUCGUUGCGGAGCCCUUGAAUAGCCUCGACUGAGGCCUCUGGCUUCAGCAAGAUUGCCUUGGCACUAUUUAUUCUUCUUCUUCCUCCUCUUCAUGAUAUGUUCCUCUUUCUCCUCACCAGUUGGUGAAACCAAGUACAUGAUUGGCCUUCUAAUUCAGAAUUGGUCUUGUCAGUGAGGGAGUACAAGUGUACUAGUAAAAAACACCAUUAUUUUCUCAUGGCAGUCGGAAAAUAGAGAUGAACACAUGCAUUAAAUAUCAUUCUUACCUAAAGGAAGGUUAUGGCGCCAAUAUGGAUGAUGAGGAUUGGAACACAGAUCUCCCUUUGUGCAGUUCCACCAAAAUGAACCAACUGUUCCAUCUGACAUUCCAGUUAAACAGCACACAAGUCACUUCUUUUAAGAAGAGUUUUGUGCAGUGCACCAAAAGGUCACAACAGCAACCAGGUGAAUUGGAUAUCCCUGUUUGCACAAAAAGGCACAGAGGAAACAGUCAGAUUCUAAACAAUUAUAGGCAAAAACAUUUGGCUAAACUUGUCAGAGUCUCAAACAAUUACAGGCAAAAACAGUGGCAGGCUUCAUUUUUACCAGGGACAUUAUAUUAAGAACAGCUAAGGCUGCGUUCGGUUCACAGGUUUGGUGCAGGAUUUUCGUAGGAACACAAUUCCUACCGUAUUCUUUCCCUUCCAACCGUUCGGAACACGGGAAAGGUGAAUAGUGUUUCAUAGGAAAGCUGGUCUGGUAGUACUGAUUCCAUCGGAUUAGAAACAUCCACGCGCUGCUCAUUUUUUGGGCGGAAGCCCGAGGCAGGCGCUCGCUGCCAUGCGUUAGACAGGUUGCUGUGCUAUGUUUGCCGGAAUAAAAAAAUCAACCUAUGUGUGGUACGUGAGGUGAGGGCAAGAGUAGUCACUGUGCAGCUGAAUAAACAAAUAGCAUCUCAUACUGCCAAGCAUGCUACUCUUAAAAAACAAAUCUGUACAUUUCAUAGUCCAUCCGAACACAUUCUCUUGAGAGUUUCCUCUGGUUUGCUGUUCCAUAGUUUUAUACCUACAUUCCUUUCCUAUUCCUCUAUUUUCAUCAAUACAUAUGUUUUCUGCCCCUUUGUUCUGACCGGAGCCUAAAUAUUUGGUAUAAGGGCAUGGGACAGUGGGUGCACCAGCAGUACAGCACCAUGUACGUAAACAGGGGCAUAAAGUGGUGAUUCAUAGUUUGUUGCCCCGAGAAACAAACAUCCAAGAAACAUAUCUGGGUUGGUCCCAUUUUUGUUCACUCUAGCCACCUACUCCUAUGUGUGGAUAGCAAAUCUAGUCCUGGUCAUACCACUGUGUACAGCGUUACCCCUAUAUUUCCCUUUUCGACCAAGAGAUUGGUUGGAUGACCAGUCUGUACUACUUUCACCCCCUUUCCUUCCUGUUUGUACCAAGUCCGAUGUACAUACUAAAUUCCCCCACCCCCACUUUAUUUCAAUGGCAAGUAUUUUCGGACGGAGGGAGUACAAGAUUCGACUCCAUGAAGUAGCUUUACCUCUAACAAUAGAAGAAGAAAAAAUAGGUGACGUUGGACCAUCCGAUCGAGAGGGGCUGAGAGGUAGAAAAUGAUGCACAUGCAACGAUGUAGCGAGCUGGGGAAGUAGAGCUAAGGCGGUUUCGAACGAAGAUAUACCUGAAGGUCGUCGGGAUGUGGAUAGGUGGGCGGCGGGAGGCCGGAUCCGCCCACAGGCAACGACGAAGGGAUCGGAGGAUGUCACGCCCAAUAUGCGACCCUAUCCAAAAGGAACUCGAAGGUCCCACCAAGGAUAGACCCGCAUAUUGAAACGCUUUUGCAAGGUGGAUAUCAUUACAUCUACAUUACAUAAUAGAUGGGGAUACAUACAAGAGGCAUACAAUGACACAUGAAUACAACAUCACAAUACAUAAGAGCAUCAUCCGACUAUGGAUGAAACACAAACAGAAACUCAAACGACAUCCACCCUGCUAGCCCAGGCUGCCGACCUGGAACCUAUCCCCUGAUCGAAGAAGAAGCAGAAGAAGAACUCCAAGACAAGCAAACAACGCUCUCGCGUCAAGAUCAUCGCACAACCUGUACCUGCAACUGUUGUUGUAGUAAUCUGUGAGCCACGAGGACUCAGCAAUCCCAUUACCAUGGGUAUCAAGACUAGCAAAGCUUAAAGGGAAAGGAAGGCGGUAAAGUGGUGAGGUUGCAGCAGCGGCUAAGCAUAUAUGGUGGCUAACAUACGCAAAUAAGAGCGAGAAGAGAGCAAGCGGAACGGUCGUGAAGCUAGCAAUGAUCAAGAAGUGAUCCUGAACUCCUACUUAUGUCAAACAUAACCCAGAAACCGUGUUCACUUCCCGGACUCCGCCAAAAAGAGACCAUCACGGCUACACACGCGGUUGAUGCGUUUUAAUUCGGAUCUGGUGUCAAGUUAUCUACAACCGGACAUUAACAAAUUCCCAUCUGCCUAUAACUGCAGGCACGGCUUUCGAAAGAUUAUACCCUGCAGGGGUGUCCCAACUUAGCCCAUGAUAAGCUCUCGCGAUCAACGAAGGAUAUACCUUCUCCCAGGAAGACCCGAUCAGACUCGGAAUCCCGGUUUACAAGACAUUUCGACAAUGGUAAAACAAGACCAGCAAAGCCUCCCGCUGUGCCGACAAAUCCCGAUAGGAGCUGCACAUAUCUUGUUCUCAGGGCACACCGGAUGAGCCAGACGUCGGGUUGGCAUAGACCCUGAUUGCCCAGGGGGCGCCGGACAUCGCUCGGUUUGGACCAACACUUAGACAAGCACUGGCCCGGGGGGGUAAAAUAAAGAUGACCCUCGGGAUGCGCGACUCCCAAGGGAAAAAGGGCUAGGUGAGGCAAAUGGUAAAACCAAUGUUGGGCCUUGCUAGAGGAGUUUUAUUCAAAGCGAACUGUCAAGGGGGUCCCAUAAAUCACCCGACCGCGUAAGGAACGCAAAAUCCGGGAACAUAACACCGGUAUGACGAAAACUAGGGCGGCAAGAGUGGAACAAAACACCAGGCAUAAGGCCGAGUCUUCCACCCUUUACCAAGUAUAUAGAUGCAUUAAUAAUAUAAGAGAUAUUGUGAUAUCCCAACCAAAAUCCUAUCCGCCAUGGAGUAAUCUUCAACUUCACCUGCAACUAGCAACGCUAUAAGAGGGGCUGAGCAAAGCGGUAACAUAGCCAAACAACGGUUUGCAUAGGAAAGGUGUCAAAGGUUAGAGGUUCAUGGCAAUAUGGGAGGCUUGAAGAACAUGUGAUAGAUAGCGCAGCAUAGCGAUAGAACGAAACAGCUAGCAUAGCAAUGAUAGUAGUGAGAUCCAGGGUAGUGGUCAUCUUGCCUGAUAUCCCGCAAGGAAGAAGAACGGGUCCAUGAAGAAGAUGAAGCCACGAAGACGAACCAAGCGUAGACGAACGAAUCCUCAUGAUCGCAACGAAAUGGGAACUAUCGAGAAGAAGCACACAACAUAGUAAACACACCACACAUGAACAAGGCAUGAUGCACAACAAGCAUGAUGCAUGACAAGGCUACAUGAAGCUACUCAUGGCAAGAGAUGUUGCAAACAAGAACAACACAUCAAGGCAAGUUUAAAUGAGGCCGGAAGCAACAUAUAACAAUACCGGUAAGUCCUCAUAUGCAUAUUUCGAAAUUGGUCCAGAUCUGAAUAAACCUUAUGUUCAAGUUGUUAAAUAGCAAGUUAAGAUGCACAAAGAUGAUCUACACGAGAUUCUAGUCAAGUUACAUAUAAAGUUCAUUUAGUUCGGAGCUACGGCCUAGAAGAUAUGAGCAAAACAAGUUAAACAUGGCAUUGAUGCAAAAUGCACCCAAACAUCAAGCAAACACACCGAAACAAGGAUUCAACAUGAUAAUAUGAAGCUACAUUCAUAAUCAAGCAAGUUUCAUAUAGAGCACACUCAAACCGGAGCAACGGUUCAACACACACUCUAUACAAGUUUAAAGGACAAGCUGUCCAAAACAGCAACUAGGCAUAUUGCAAGCACCAAAACAACAUGCUACAGCACCUCAACAUAAUAACAAAAGGCAUGGGCAUGAUGUACAGGUAAAGCACAACAAAACAUGAACACUGAGCUAUCUCCAGAAAUCACUAGAACAUGCUCAAACACACAUGGCAAGAUUGCAAAUAAUAACAAUUCAGACUUUGCAGAAAAUAACAUCAGGUUGCAAUGUUUAGAGCUAUCAAACAACAUGUUACAGGAACUUAUAAUGGCAAACAAAGGCAUUGCAUGAAUCUACUAAUUGCAUAGGUCAAAAGUCCUUUACUGACCAUAAGCCAAAAAGGAUCAGAAAAUAUGAUGGCACCCAUGUAAACAUAGCAAGUUAUAAUACAGAUUCAUACAUGGCAGGAACAUAAUUAUGAAGGCAUGUAGAUGAGCUUGUGCAACUCACUACAGAGCAAAACAUGGCAUGGCAAGGCAACCAACAGUAAUAAGUCAUGUUUGUGAAGCUAAGCAUGGCAAGAGCAAGUUCAUAGGGUGCAUGGAACACUAGGAAAACACAUGGCAACAACUGAACUUAAUGCUAACAGGCUGACAACAACAUUAUGAAGCAACUUUGGAGCAAGAUAUGAACAAGCUACAGCAAGCUAUAAUUGCAACCAGGGGCAUGAAUGGAUAUAGCAUGACAUGUAGAUCAAAACAUAUUUAGUGAUCAUCUCCAGAUUAUGCAUAGAAUGAUUUGUAGAAGAAGGUUUACAUAGCAUCACGAAAUAACAGAUUCAGCCUAUCAAAACAGCAACAUCAAGUACCCUACUUAACAAGCUCGAUUCACUCACCACAAGUUAUUGCAUGACAAGAUAAGCAUAGCAUCAUCAAGAAGACAUGUUUAUGUAACCAACCAAGUCAAGAACAAGUCCAUAGCAUGCAAGGAUCAACUACAACAACCUUGGCCAAAUUGAAUAACAUGUAAACAAUCUGCCAGGAAACAUUUUGAAGCAAAAGUAGAGCACGAAAAUGACGUGCUAUACUACUCCAUAAUUGCAAACAGGGGCAUGAAUGGAUAGACAAUAACCACAUGUUCAAAACACCCUUACUGAAGUAUCUCAAAAUAUGCAUGGAUCUCUCUGUAGCAUCAAGUUUACAUGGCCUCAAAAUAACAGCAGAACAGGGACUAAAACCAGCAACAUCACGAUGCCUAGUUUGCAUGCUUGUGCUAGUCACCACAUUGAUCACAAAAAUACAUGGUAAGCACCUCUGUAAAGAAGACAUGGCAUAGUUCAAAACACAUGUAGACAUCAACCUCAAAGGAUGCACACAUCAAUCAUGGCAAAAAUGACAAAAGAGCUCGUUCUGAUAACAGACAGCAGAAAACAUUAUGAAACAUCUCUUGCAACGAUGAUUUAGGCAUCUAGAUGACCUCAAAUGAAUAUGAUGCAAUGGAAUGAAAUGAUGUACUCGUUGAGGCGAAUAAUUUGACAUAUUAUACGCAAGAAACGGAGCUACGGAUGCAGAGAUACNNNNNNNNNNNNNNNNNNNNNNNNNNNNNNNNNNNNNNNNNNNNNNNNNNNNNNNNNNNNNNNNNNNNNNNNNNNNNNNNNNNNNNNNNNNNNNNNNNNNNNNNNNNNNNNNNNNNNNNNNNNNNNNNNNNNNNNNNNNNNNNNNNNNNNNNNNNNNNNNNNNNNNNNNNNNNNNNNNNNNNNNNNNNNNNNNNNNNNNNNNNNNNNNNNNNNNNNNNNNNNNNNNNNNNNNNNNNNNNNNNNNNNNNNNNNNNNNNNNNNNNNNNNNNNNNNNNNNNNNNNNNNNNNNNNNNNNNNNNNNNNNNNNNNNNNNNNNNNNNNNNNNNNNNNNNNNNNNNNNNNNNNNNNNNNNNNNNNNNNNNNNNNNNNNNNNNNNNNNNNNNNNNNNNNNNNNNNNNNNNNNNNNNNNNNNNNNNNNNNNNNNNNNNNNNNNNNNNNNNNNNNNNNNNNNNNNNNNNNNNNNNNNNNNNNNNNNNNNNNNNNNNNNNNNNNNNNNNNNNNNNNNNNNNNNNNNNNNNNNNNNNNNNNNNNNNNNCGAUCGGAAAAACCAACUGCGUGAUCCUAAAGAAAAUUUUUGAAGGGGAAGAGGAGUAAUUCAAAACACCUACGUCAAUAUUCCUUACCAGAGCGACGAAGGGGCUGAGGAGUAAAAAUAAUUCCUACUCUCCGAUAUAACUAGACUCCAAAAUAGUUUUCUUCUAGACUCAACAACGGCCAAACUACAUGAUCAAACAAGGGGGCUCCUAGGGUCGGUCGAGGCUCUGAUACCAACUUGUCACGCCCAAUAUGCGACCCUAUCCAAAAGGAACUCGAAGAUCCCACCAAGGAUAGACCCACAUAUUGAAACGCUUUUGCAAGGUGGAUAUCAUUACAUCAACAUUACAUAAUAGAUGGGGAUACAUACAAGAGGCAUACAAUGCCACAUGAAUACAACAUCACAAUACAUAAGAGCAUCAUCCGACUACGGAUGAAACACAAACAGAAACUCAAACGACAUCCACCCUGCUAGCCCAGGUUGCCGACUUGGAACCUAUCCCCUGAUCGAAGAAGAAGCAGAAGAAGAACUCCAAGACAAGCAAACAACGCUCUCGCGUCAAGAUCAUCGCACAACAUGUACCUGCAACUGUUGUUGUAGUAAUCUAUGAGCCACAAGGACUCAGCAAUCCCAUUACCAUGGGUAUCAAGACUAGCAAAGCUUAAAGGGAAAGGAAGGGGGUAAAGUGGUGAGGUUGCAGUAGCGGCUAAGCAUAUAUGGUGGCUAACAUACACAAAUAAGAGCGAGAAGAGAGCAAGCGGAACGGUCGUGAAGCUAGCAAUGAUCAAGAAGUGAUCCUGAACUCCUACUUAUGUCAAACAUAACCCAGAAACCGUGUUCACUUCCCGGACUCCGCCGAAAAGAGACCAUCACGGCUACACACGCGGUUGAUGCGUUUUAAUUCGGAUCUGGUGUCAAGUUAUCUACAACCGGACAUUAACAAAUUCACAUCUGCCUAUAACCGCAGGCACGGCUUUCGAAAGAUUAUACCCUGCAGGGGUGUCCCAACUUAGCCCAUGAUAAGCUCUCGCGAUCAACGAAGGAUAUACCUUCUCCCAGGAAGACCCGAUCAGACUCGGAAUCCCGGUUUACAAGACAUUUCGAUAAUGGUAAAACAAGACCAGCAAAGCCUCCUGCUGUGCUGACAAAUCCCGAUAGGAGCUGCACAUAUCUCGUUCUCAGGGCACACCGGAUGAGCCAGACGUCGGGUUGGCAUAGACCCUGAUUGCCCAGGGGCGCCGGACAUCGCUCGGUUUGGACCAACACUUAGACAAGCACUGGCCCAGGGGGAUAAAAUAAAGAUGACCCUCGGGAUGCNNNNNNNNNNCCCCGGUGGGCCGCGGGAGGCGACGCGGGCAGGAGGCGCUGGGGGGGACACGCGGCGGCGGCGGAGGAGGCCGGAGGCCACGUGGCGGGAGCUGGUUGGCUGCGUGGGCGAGGGCGGACGUGUCCGGCUGCGGCUGGAUGCGUCCGGCGGUGGAGAGGGAAAAUCUAGGGUUUCAUCUGCGAAUUCAUCCGCGAAUUUCGGGGGAGGGGCUAGUUUUAUAGGUAGAGGGAGCUAGGAGAGUCCAAAUGAGGAGCGGUUUUCGGCCACGCGAUCGUGAUCGAACGAUCGAGAGCAUGGAGGGGAGUUAGAUGGGUUUUGGGCCACUUUGGAAGGGGUGUUGGGCUGCAAAGAGAGAGGGGCUUUACGGUUACCCGGUUAACCGUUGGAGUAUCAAACGGACUCCAAAUGGCACGAAACUUGACAGGCGGUCUACCGGUGCUAUACCAAGGCCACUUGACAAGCCUCGGUCCAUUCCGAGAACGUUUAACACCCACUCACAACAAGAGACAAAAGGGGGACGCCGGAGGACAUAGGAGCGCCGGAUUGCAAAACGGACAACGGGGAAAAGGCUCGGAUGCAUGAGACGAACACGUAUGCAAAAUGAAAUGCAUAUGAUGACAUGGUAAAAUGCAACACGCAAGCAAAUGACAUGGCAACGAUGGCGAAUAACUGGCAGACACCUGGCGCAUCGAAUCCGGGGCGUUACAACACUCCUCCACUAACAAGAGAUCUCGUCCCGAAAUCUUAGGACCGAGACGGAAGGGAAAAGGGCUGAGGUGAAGCAAGAACUCAAGAGAAGAAGAAAAGAAUCGAGAGCACUCGAGAAGAAGAGAGGAACGACGAGAAUGACAAGCAUCGAAAGCUCACGGAAUCAGAUAGACUAUGAAAGCACUCCAGUUGAAAAUGGAAGGAAUAGAACAGGAACUUCGCAAGAUGGAAUGACACUUGACGAAGACAUGACACAAAACCUCCGGAAAGAAUUGAAAGAAUUGAAUGAAACGAACUUAAAAGGAAGGAUUGACUGGAGUUGUUGAGAAAAUCAACAACGAAAAAAUAAGCUUGUCGUGGACUUAUGGAUAACAUCUCAGAAAUUAUGAGGUGAUAACCAGCCGCAACCUGAAAUGAUUGGAUAACUUAGAAGAACGAAGAAAUGCAAAACUCCACUUCAGAAGAAAACGGAGAAUUAUUUGCACUACGAGACACGAGAAGAAAAGAUACUUGAACUCCACCGACAAGAAUCUUGAUGAACUCUUGAACAAUGAAUUAAAUCAUGACGAGCCACCGUGAAUAACUCCGGUAACAAAAGGAUGAUGAAAUAGAAUGAAGGAUGAAAGAAUAAAAAUUCAAGCCUUGCGAUGAUUUAGAUGGAGGUUCUGACGAAAUGGCCGAGGAAAUUCGAACUCCGAGAAAAGAAAAGAUGAAGACACUUGGAACUAGAAUUUAUUCAUCGCGAACAAACUCCGGAGGAAGGGAUUACUCACUAGUUUGAAAUAAGAAUAAGAUUUAUUGUAUGCUUAUCCUUCAUCAAAAUAAAUUGAUGACAAGCAAUGGAAUUUGCAUACUACUUAUUCUUCUUGAAAAGGAUUAAGAAGGGAAAGCACAAAACUUGAGAAAAUCUUCAUGAACCACCGGUAGGAUUGGAAAGAACGAAUGAAUUAAAAUGAUAAUCAAGGAAAAAAAUCUGAAUGAACCACCGUAAGAAUUCGAAAAUUGAAUGACGAAAGAGAAUGAAUCACCAGGAAGAAUUAGAAUAACCAAUAAGCAAGAGGGGAUUUAGAUGCAAAAGAACAAAGAGAUCAUGAGCUGAUUAAAGAAUACUUGAACGAAGCACCGAGAUAAUUGGAUAACGGUAGCUGAAAUGAUGGCCUCCGGUGAAAAGAAAAAAGAAAACAACUCCUGAAAAACUCCGGAUGGUUAAGAAAAGGAAUACCUGACAAAUGGAAUAAUUUGAGAGGAUAAUAUGAAGCUAGAACCACGAAACUUCGAGAGAACGGGCAAGAUUUAGAGGAAAAGCUCUUCUUCGGUCUUCAAAAGACGACGAGAAACACCAACGAAAUUACUGAGAUACUCCGGGAGAAUGAAAAGCAGAGAGGUUGAGCCAACAAUGAAAAGAAUUUGAACGAGAUCUUGGAGAAGGCAUGUGACUGAUGGAAUCUAUUCUUACGUCACACUUGAAAAGAAUUGAGAAUAACUCCGGGGAAAUUAGAAGAGUCAGGUAAGAUCCUAGGAAAAGACCUGUGGGUUAGGGCCCACUGAAGAGAGAACACCGUUGGAAAGGAUUGUUGAAGAGAUAGAUGAUACACCGGAACAGUUGAAAUAUUUGAAUGAGGUGACAACCUCGAAUUAAUUCGAACACAGACGAACCUCCUGAGAUGUCUUGAACACUCCGGAAGGAUAAACUGGCGAGAGGCAAACGAGCAAGGAGAACACUUGAUUCAAGGAAAAGAAUGCGAUCAACACCGAAAAACUUGAAUUGAGUCCAUCGAAGAAGAGAUGAAGAAUGUCUAACAAGACGAGAAUUCACCGGUAGAAAUGAUUGAGGGAAGACUGAAGAGGCUCCGCACAAAUGAAAUAGAUAGUCGAGAGAGAGACAGACUCCGGUAAGAAANNNNNNNNNNNNNNNNNNNNNNNNNNNNNNNNNNNNNNNNNNNNNNNNNNNNNNNNNNNNNNNNNNNNNNNNNNNNNNNNNNNNNNNNNNNNNNNNNNNNNNNNNNNNNNNNNNNNNNNNNNNNNNNNNNNNNNNCGAUCGGAAAAACCAACUGCGUGAUCCUAAAGAAAAUUUUUGAAGGGGAAGAGGAGUAAUUCAAAACACCUACGUCAAUAUUCCUUACCAGAGCGACGAAGGGGCUGAGGAGUAAAAAUAAUUCCUACUCUCCGAUAUAACUAGACUCCAAAAUAGUUUUCUUCUAGACUCAACAACGGCCAAACUACAUGAUCAAACAAGGGGGCUCCUAGGGUCGGUCGAGGCUCUGAUACCAACUUGUCACGCCCAAUAUGCGACCCUAUCCAAAAGGAACUCGAAGAUCCCACCAAGGAUAGACCCACAUAUUGAAACGCUUUUGCAAGGUGGAUAUCAUUACAUCAACAUUACAUAAUAGAUGGGGAUACAUACAAGAGGCAUACAAUGCCACAUGAAUACAACAUCACAAUACAUAAGAGCAUCAUCCGACUACGGAUGAAACACAAACAGAAACUCAAACGACAUCCACCCUGCUAGCCCAGGUUGCCGACUUGGAACCUAUCCCCUGAUCGAAGAAGAAGCAGAAGAAGAACUCCAAGACAAGCAAACAACGCUCUCGCGUCAAGAUCAUCGCACAACAUGUACCUGCAACUGUUGUUGUAGUAAUCUAUGAGCCACAAGGACUCAGCAAUCCCAUUACCAUGGGUAUCAAGACUAGCAAAGCUUAAAGGGAAAGGAAGGGGGUAAAGUGGUGAGGUUGCAGUAGCGGCUAAGCAUAUAUGGUGGCUAACAUACACAAAUAAGAGCGAGAAGAGAGCAAGCGGAACGGUCGUGAAGCUAGCAAUGAUCAAGAAGUGAUCCUGAACUCCUACUUAUGUCAAACAUAACCCAGAAACCGUGUUCACUUCCCGGACUCCGCCGAAAAGAGACCAUCACGGCUACACACGCGGUUGAUGCGUUUUAAUUCGGAUCUGGUGUCAAGUUAUCUACAACCGGACAUUAACAAAUUCACAUCUGCCUAUAACCGCAGGCACGGCUUUCGAAAGAUUAUACCCUGCAGGGGUGUCCCAACUUAGCCCAUGAUAAGCUCUCGCGAUCAACGAAGGAUAUACCUUCUCCCAGGAAGACCCGAUCAGACUCGGAAUCCCGGUUUACAAGACAUUUCGAUAAUGGUAAAACAAGACCAGCAAAGCCUCCUGCUGUGCUGACAAAUCCCGAUAGGAGCUGCACAUAUCUCGUUCUCAGGGCACACCGGAUGAGCCAGACGUCGGGUUGGCAUAGACCCUGAUUGCCCAGGGGCGCCGGACAUCGCUCGGUUUGGACCAACACUUAGACAAGCACUGGCCCAGGGGGAUAAAAUAAAGAUGACCCUCGGGAUGCGCGACUCCCAAGGGAAAAAGGGCUAGGUGAGGCAAAUGGUAAAACCAAUGUUGGGCCUUGCUGGAGGAGUUUUAUUCAAAGCGAACUGUCAAGGGGGUCCCAUAAAUCACCCGACCGUGUAAGGAACGCAAAAUCCGGGAACAUAAUACCGGUAUGACGGAAACUAGGGCGGCAAGAGUGGAACAAAACACCAGGCAUAAGGCCGAGUCUUCCACCCUUUACCAAGUAUAUAGAUGCAUUAAUAAUAUAAGAGAUAUUGUGAUAUCCCAACCAAAAUCCUGUCCGCCAUGGAGUAAUCUUCAACUUCACCUACAACUAGCAACGCUAUAAGAGGGGCUGAGCAAAGCGGUAACAUAGCCAAACAACGGUUUGCAUAGGAAAGGUGUCAAAGGUUAGAGGUUCAUGUCAAUAUGGGAGGCUUGAAGAACAUGUGAUAGGUAGCGCAGCAUAGCGAUAGAACGAAACAGCUAGCAUAGCAAUGAUAGUAGUGAGAUCCAGGGUAGCGGUCAUCUUGCCUGAUAUCCCGCAAGGAAGAAGAACGGGUCCAUGAAGAAUAUGAAGCCACGAAGAGGAACCAAGCAUAGACGAACGAAUCCUCACGAUCGCAACGAAACGGGAACUAUCGAGAAGAAGCACACUACAUAGUAAACACACCACACAUGAACAAGGCAUGAUGCACAACAAGCAUGAUGCAUGACAAGGCUACAUGAAGCUACUCAUGGCAAGAGAUGUUGCAAACAAGAACAACACAUCAAGGCAAGUUUAAAUGAGGCCGGAAGCAACAUAUAACAAUACCGGUAAGUCCUCAUAUGCAUAUUUCGAAAUUGGUCCAGAUCUGAAUAAACCUUAUGUUCAAGUUGUUAAAUAGCAAGUUAAGAUGCACAAAGAUGAUCUACACGAGAUUCUAGUCAAGUUACAUAUAAAGUUCAUUUAGUUCGGAGCUACGGCCUAGAAGAUAUGAGCAAAACAAGUUAAACAUGGCAUUGAUGCAAAAUGCACCCAAACAUCAAGCAAACACACCGAAACAAGGAUUCAACAUGAUAAUAUGAAGCUACAUUCAUAAUCAAGCAAGUUUCAUAUAGAGCACACUCAAACCGGAGCAACGGUUCAACACACACUCUAUACAAGUUUAAAGGACAAGCUGUCCAAAACAGCAACUAGGCAUAUUGCAAGCACCAAAACGACAUGCUACAGCACCUCAACAUAAUAACAAAAGGCAUGGGCAUGAUGUACAGGUAAAGCACAACAAAACAUAAACACUGAGCUAUCUCCAGAAAUCACUAGAACAUGCUCAAACACACAUGGCAAGAUUGCAAAUAAUAACAAUUCAGACUUUGCAGAAAAUAACAUCAGGUUGCAAUGUUUAGAGCUAUCAAACAACAUGUUACAGGAACUUAUAAUGGCAAAAAAAGGCAUGGCAUGAAUCUACUAAUUUCAUAGGUCAAAAGUCCUUUACUGACCAUAAGCCAAAAAGGAUCAGAAAAUAUGAUGGCACCCAUGUAAACAUAGCAAGUUAUAAUACAGAUUCAUACAUGGCAGGAACAUAAUUAUGAAGGCAUAUAGAUGAGCUUGUGCAACUCACUACAGAGCAAAACAUGGCAUGGCAAGGCAACCAACAGUAAUAAGGCAUGUUUGUGAAGCUAAGCAUGGCAAGAGCAAGUUCAUAGGGUGCAUGGAACACUAGGAAAACACAUGGCAACAACUGAACUUAAUGUUAACAGGCUGACAGCAACAUUAUGAAGCAACUUUGGAGCAAGAUAUGAACAAGCUACAGCAAGCUAUAAUUGCAACCAGGGGCAUGAAUGGAUAUAGCAUGACAUGUAGAUCAAAACAUAUUUAGUGAUCAUCUCCAGAUUAUGCAUAGAAUGAUUUGUAGAAGAAGGUUUACAUAGCAUCACGAAAUAACAGAUUCAGCCUAUCAAAACAGCAACAUCAAGUACCCUACUUAACAAGCUCGAUUCACUCACCACAAGUUAUUGCAUGACAAGAUAAGCAUAGCAUCAUCAAGAAGACAUGUUUAUGUAACCAACCAAGUCAAGAACAAGUCCAUAGCAUGCAAGGAUCAACUACAACAACCUUGGCCAAAUUGAAUAACAUGUAAACAAUCUGCCAGGAAACAUUUUGAAGCAAAAGUAGAGCACGAAAAUGACGUGCUAUACUACUCCAUAAUUGCAAACAGGGGCAUGAAUGGAUAGACAAUAACCACAUGUUCAAAACACCCUUACUGAAGUAUCUCAAAAUAUGCAUGGAUCUCUCUGUAGCAUCAAGUUUACAUGGCCUCAAAAUAACAGCAGAACAGGGACUAAAACCAGCAACAUCACGAUGCCUAGUUUGCAUGCUUGUGCUAGUCACCACAUUGAUCACAAAAAUACAUGGUAAGCACCUCUGUAAAGAAGACAUGGCAUAGUUCAAAACACAUGUAGACAUCAACCUCAAAGGAUGCACACAUCAAUCAUGGCAAAAAUGACAAAAGAGCUCGUUCUGAUAACAGACAGCAGAAAACAUUAUGAAACAUCUCUUGCAACGAUGAUUUAGGCAUCUAGAUGACCUCAAAUGAAUAUGAUGCAAUGGAAUGAAAUGAUGUACUCGUUGAGGCGAAUAAUUUGACAUAUUAUACGCAAGAAACGGAGCUACGGAUGCAGAGAUACNNNNNNNNNNNNNNNNNNNNNNNNNNNNNNNNNNNNNNNNNNNNNNNNNNNNNNNNNNNNNNNNNNNNNNNNNNNNNNNNNNNNNNNNNNNNNNNNNNNNNNNNNNNNNNNNNNNNNNNNNNNNNNNNNNNNNNNNNNNNNNNNNNNNNNNNNNNNNNNNNNNNNNNNNNNNNNNNNNNNNNNNNNNNNNNNNNNNNNNNNNNNNNNNNNNNNNNNNNNNNNNNNNNNNNNNNNNNNNNNNNNNNNNNNNNNNNNNNNNNNNNNNNNNNNNNNNNNNNNNNNNNNNNNNNNNNNNNNNNNNNNNNNNNNNNNNNNNNNNNNNNNNNNNNNNNNNNNNNNNNNNNNNNNNNNNNNNNNNNNNNNNNNNNNNNNNNNNNNNNNNNNNNNNNNNNNNNNNNNNNNNNNNNNNNNNNNNNNNNNNNNNNNNNNNNNNNNNNNNNNNNNNNNNNNNNNNNNNNNNNNNNNNNNNNNNNNNNNNNNNNNNNNNNNNNNNNNNNNNNNNNNNNNNNNNNNNNNNNNNNNNNNNNNNNNNNNNNNNNNNNNNNNNNNNNNNNNNNNNNNNNNNNNNNNNNNNNNNNNNNNNNNNNNNNNNNNNNNNNNNNNNNNNNNNNNNNNNNNNNNNNNNNNNNNNNNNNNNNNNNNNNNNNNNNNNNNNNNNNNNNNNNNNNNNNNNNNNNNNNNNNNNNNNNNNNNNNNNNNNNNNNNNNNNNNNNNNNNNNNNNNNNNNNNNNNNNNNNNNNNNNNNNNNNNNNNNNNNNNNNNNNNNNNNNNNNNNNNNNNNNNNNNNNNNNNNNNNNNNNNNNNNNNNNNNNNNNNNNNNNNNNNNNNNNNNNNNNNNNNNNNNNNNNNNNNNNNNNNNNNNNNNNNNNNNNNNNNNNNNNNNNNNNNNNNNNNNNNNNNNNNNNNNNNNNNNNNNNNNNNNNNNNNNNNNNNNNNNNNNNNNNNNNNNNNNNNNNNNNNNNNNNNNNNNNNNNNNNNNNNNNNNNNNNNNNNNNNNNNNNNNNNNNNNNNNNNNNNNNNNNNNNNNNNNNNNNNNNNNNNNNNNNNNNNNNNNNNNNNNNNNNNNNNNCCCCGGUGGGCCGCGGGAGGCGACGCGGGCAGGAGGCGCUGGGGGGGACACGCGGCGGCGGCGGAGGAGGCCGGAGGCCACGUGGCGGGAGCUGGUUGGCUGCGUGGGCGAGGGCGGACGUGUCCGGCUGCGGCUGGAUGCGUCCGGCGGUGGAGAGGGAAAAUCUAGGGUUUCAUCUGCGAAUUCAUCCGCGAAUUUCGGGGGAGGGGCUAGUUUUAUAGGUAGAGGGAGCUAGGAGAGUCCAAAUGAGGAGCGGUUUUCGGCCACGCGAUCGUGAUCGAACGAUCGAGAGCAUGGAGGGGAGUUAGAUGGGUUUUGGGCCACUUUGGAAGGGGUGUUGGGCUGCAAAGAGAGAGGGGCUUUACGGUUACCCGGUUAACCGUUGGAGUAUCAAACGGACUCCAAAUGGCACGAAACUUGACAGGCGGUCUACCGGUGCUAUACCAAGGCCACUUGACAAGCCUCGGUCCAUUCCGAGAACGUUUAACACCCACUCACAACAAGAGACAAAAGGGGGACGCCGGAGGACAUAGGAGCGCCGGAUUGCAAAACGGACAACGGGGAAAAGGCUCGGAUGCAUGAGACGAACACGUAUGCAAAAUGAAAUGCAUAUGAUGACAUGGUAAAAUGCAACACGCAAGCAAAUGACAUGGCAACGAUGGCGAAUAACUGGCAGACACCUGGCGCAUCGAAUCCGGGGCGUUACAACACUCCUCCACUAACAAGAGAUCUCGUCCCGAAAUCUUAGGACCGAGACGGAAGGGAAAAGGGCUGAGGUGAAGCAAGAACUCAAGAGAAGAAGAAAAGAAUCGAGAGCACUCGAGAAGAAGAGAGGAACGACGAGAAUGACAAGCAUCGAAAGCUCACGGAAUCAGAUAGACUAUGAAAGCACUCCAGUUGAAAAUGGAAGGAAUAGAACAGGAACUUCGCAAGAUGGAAUGACACUUGACGAAGACAUGACACAAAACCUCCGGAAAGAAUUGAAAGAAUUGAAUGAAACGAACUUAAAAGGAAGGAUUGACUGGAGUUGUUGAGAAAAUCAACAACGAAAAAAUAAGCUUGUCGUGGACUUAUGGAUAACAUCUCAGAAAUUAUGAGGUGAUAACCAGCCGCAACCUGAAAUGAUUGGAUAACUUAGAAGAACGAAGAAAUGCAAAACUCCACUUCAGAAGAAAACGGAGAAUUAUUUGCACUACGAGACACGAGAAGAAAAGAUACUUGAACUCCACCGACAAGAAUCUUGAUGAACUCUUGAACAAUGAAUUAAAUCAUGACGAGCCACCGUGAAUAACUCCGGUAACAAAAGGAUGAUGAAAUAGAAUGAAGGAUGAAAGAAUAAAAAUUCAAGCCUUGCGAUGAUUUAGAUGGAGGUUCUGACGAAAUGGCCGAGGAAAUUCGAACUCCGAGAAAAGAAAAGAUGAAGACACUUGGAACUAGAAUUUAUUCAUCGCGAACAAACUCCGGAGGAAGGGAUUACUCACUAGUUUGAAAUAAGAAUAAGAUUUAUUGUAUGCUUAUCCUUCAUCAAAAUAAAUUGAUGACAAGCAAUGGAAUUUGCAUACUACUUAUUCUUCUUGAAAAGGAUUAAGAAGGGAAAGCACAAAACUUGAGAAAAUCUUCAUGAACCACCGGUAGGAUUGGAAAGAACGAAUGAAUUAAAAUGAUAAUCAAGGAAAAAAAUCUGAAUGAACCACCGUAAGAAUUCGAAAAUUGAAUGACGAAAGAGAAUGAAUCACCAGGAAGAAUUAGAAUAACCAAUAAGCAAGAGGGGAUUUAGAUGCAAAAGAACAAAGAGAUCAUGAGCUGAUUAAAGAAUACUUGAACGAAGCACCGAGAUAAUUGGAUAACGGUAGCUGAAAUGAUGGCCUCCGGUGAAAAGAAAAAAGAAAACAACUCCUGAAAAACUCCGGAUGGUUAAGAAAAGGAAUACCUGACAAAUGGAAUAAUUUGAGAGGAUAAUAUGAAGCUAGAACCACGAAACUUCGAGAGAACGGGCAAGAUUUAGAGGAAAAGCUCUUCUUCGGUCUUCAAAAGACGACGAGAAACACCAACGAAAUUACUGAGAUACUCCGGGAGAAUGAAAAGCAGAGAGGUUGAGCCAACAAUGAAAAGAAUUUGAACGAGAUCUUGGAGAAGGCAUGUGACUGAUGGAAUCUAUUCUUACGUCACACUUGAAAAGAAUUGAGAAUAACUCCGGGGAAAUUAGAAGAGUCAGGUAAGAUCCUAGGAAAAGACCUGUGGGUUAGGGCCCACUGAAGAGAGAACACCGUUGGAAAGGAUUGUUGAAGAGAUAGAUGAUACACCGGAACAGUUGAAAUAUUUGAAUGAGGUGACAACCUCGAAUUAAUUCGAACACAGACGAACCUCCUGAGAUGUCUUGAACACUCCGGAAGGAUAAACUGGCGAGAGGCAAACGAGCAAGGAGAACACUUGAUUCAAGGAAAAGAAUGCGAUCAACACCGAAAAACUUGAAUUGAGUCCAUCGAAGAAGAGAUGAAGAAUGUCUAACAAGACGAGAAUUCACCGGUAGAAAUGAUUGAGGGAAGACUGAAGAGGCUCCGCACAAAUGAAAUAGAUAGUCGAGAGAGAGACAGACUCCGGUAAGAAANNNNNNNNNNNNNNNNNNNNNNNNNNNNNNNNNNNNNNNNNNNNNNNNNNNNNNNNNNNNNNNNNNNNNNNNNNNNNNNNNNNNNNNNNNNNNNNNNNNNNNNNNNNNNNNNNNNNNNNNNNNNNNNNCGAUCGGAAAAACCAACUGCGUGAUCCUAAAGAAAAUUUUUGAAGGGGAAGAGGAGUAAUUCAAAACACCUACGUCAAUAUUCCUUACCAGAGCGACGAAGGGGCUGAGGAGUAAAAAUAAUUCCUACUCUCCGAUAUAACUAGACUCCAAAAUAGUUUUCUUCUAGACUCAACAACGGCCAAACUACAUGAUCAAACAAGGGGGCUCCUAGGGUCGGUCGAGGCUCUGAUACCAACUUGUCACGCCCAAUAUGCGACCCUAUCCAAAAGGAACUCGAAGAUCCCACCAAGGAUAGACCCACAUAUUGAAACGCUUUUGCAAGGUGGAUAUCAUUACAUCAACAUUACAUAAUAGAUGGGGAUACAUACAAGAGGCAUACAAUGCCACAUGAAUACAACAUCACAAUACAUAAGAGCAUCAUCCGACUACGGAUGAAACACAAACAGAAACUCAAACGACAUCCACCCUGCUAGCCCAGGUUGCCGACUUGGAACCUAUCCCCUGAUCGAAGAAGAAGCAGAAGAAGAACUCCAAGACAAGCAAACAACGCUCUCGCGUCAAGAUCAUCGCACAACAUGUACCUGCAACUGUUGUUGUAGUAAUCUAUGAGCCACAAGGACUCAGCAAUCCCAUUACCAUGGGUAUCAAGACUAGCAAAGCUUAAAGGGAAAGGAAGGGGGUAAAGUGGUGAGGUUGCAGUAGCGGCUAAGCAUAUAUGGUGGCUAACAUACACAAAUAAGAGCGAGAAGAGAGCAAGCGGAACGGUCGUGAAGCUAGCAAUGAUCAAGAAGUGAUCCUGAACUCCUACUUAUGUCAAACAUAACCCAGAAACCGUGUUCACUUCCCGGACUCCGCCGAAAAGAGACCAUCACGGCUACACACGCGGUUGAUGCGUUUUAAUUCGGAUCUGGUGUCAAGUUAUCUACAACCGGACAUUAACAAAUUCACAUCUGCCUAUAACCGCAGGCACGGCUUUCGAAAGAUUAUACCCUGCAGGGGUGUCCCAACUUAGCCCAUGAUAAGCUCUCGCGAUCAACGAAGGAUAUACCUUCUCCCAGGAAGACCCGAUCAGACUCGGAAUCCCGGUUUACAAGACAUUUCGAUAAUGGUAAAACAAGACCAGCAAAGCCUCCUGCUGUGCUGACAAAUCCCGAUAGGAGCUGCACAUAUCUCGUUCUCAGGGCACACCGGAUGAGCCAGACGUCGGGUUGGCAUAGACCCUGAUUGCCCAGGGGCGCCGGACAUCGCUCGGUUUGGACCAACACUUAGACAAGCACUGGCCCAGGGGGAUAAAAUAAAGAUGACCCUCGGGAUGCACGACUCCCAAGGGAAAAAGGGCUAGGUGAGGCAAAUGGUAAAACCAAUGUUGGGCCUUGCUGGAGGAGUUUUAUUCAAAGCGAACUGUCAAGGGGGUCCCAUAAAUCACCCGACCGUGUAAGGAACGCAAAAUCCGGGAACAUAAUACCGGUAUGACGGAAACUAGGGCGGCAAGAGUGGAACAAAACACCAGGCAUAAGGCCGAGUCUUCCACCCUUUACCAAGUAUAUAGAUGCAUUAAUAAUAUAAGAGAUAUUGUGAUAUCCCAACCAAAAUCCUGUCCGCCAUGGAGUAAUCUUCAACUUCACCUACAACUAGCAACGCUAUAAGAGGGGCUGAGCAAAGCGGUAACAUAGCCAAACAACGGUUUGCAUAGGAAAGGUGUCAAAGGUUAGAGGUUCAUGGCAAUAUGGGAGGCUUGAAGAACAUGUGAUAGGUAGCGCAGCAUAGCGAUAGAACGAAACAGCUAGCAUAGCAAUGAUAGUAGUGAGAUCCAGGGUAGCGGUCAUCUUGCCUGAUAUCCCGCAAGGAAGAAGAACGGGUCCAUGAAGAAUAUGAAGCCACGAAGAGGAACCAAGCAUAGACGAACGAAUCCUCACGAUCGCAACGAAACGGGAACUAUCGAGAAGAAGCACACUACAUAGUAAACACACCACACAUGAACAAGGCAUGAUGCACAACAAGCAUGAUGCAUGACAAGGCUACAUGAAGCUACUCAUGGCAAGAGAUGUUGCAAACAAGAACAACACAUCAAGGCAAGUUUAAAUGAGGCCGGAAGCAACAUAUAACAAUACCGGUAAGUCCUCAUAUGCAUAUUUCGAAAUUGGUCCAGAUCUGAAUAAACCUUAUGUUCAAGUUGUUAAAUAGCAAGUUAAGAUGCACAAAGAUGAUAUACACGAGAUUCUAGUCAAGUUACAUAUAAAGUUCAUUUAGUUCGGAGCUACGGCCUAGAAGAUAUGAGCAAAACAAGUUAAACAUGGCAUUGAUGCAAAAUGCACCCAAACAUCAAGCAAACACACCGAAACAAGGAUUCAACAUGAUAAUAUGAAGCUACAUGCAAAAUCAAGCAAGUUUCAUAUAGAGCACACUCAAAAUGGAGCAACGGUUCAACAGACACACUAUACAAGUUUAAAGGACAAGCUGUCCAAAACAGCAACUAGGCAUAUUGCAAGCACCAAAACGACAUGCUACAGCACCUCAACAUAAUAACAAAAGGCAUGGGCAUGAUGUACAGGUAAAGCACAACAAAACAUAAACACUGAGCUAUCUCCAGAAAUCACUAGAACAUGCUCAAACACACAUGGCAAGAUUGCAAAUAAUAACAAUUCAGACUUUGCAGAAAAUAACAUCAGGUUGCAAUGUUUAGAGCUAUCAAACAACAUGUUACAGGAACUUAUAAUGGCAAAAAAAGGCAUGGCAUGAAUCUACUAAUUUCAUAGGUCAAAAGUCCUUUACUGACCAUAAGCCAAAAAGGAUCAGAAAAUAUGAUGGCACACAUGUAAACAUAGCAAGUUAUAAUACAGAUUCAUACAUGGCAGGAACAUAAUUAUGAAGGCAUAUAGAUGAGCUUGUGCAACUCACUACAGAGCAAAACAUGGCAUGGCAAGGCAACCAACAGUAAUAAGGCAUGUUUGUGAAGCUAAGCAUGGCAAGAGCAAGUUCAUAGGGUGCAUGGAACACUAGGAAAACACAUGGCAACAACUGAACUUAAUGUUAACAGGCUGACAGCAACAUUAUGAAGCAACUUUGGAGCAAGAUAUGAACAAGCUAAAGCAAGCUAUAAUUGCAACCAGGGGCAUGAAUGGAUAUAGCAUGACAUGUAGAUCAAAACAUAUUUAGUGAUCAUCUCCAGAUUAUGCAUAGAAUGAUUUGUAGAAGCAGGUUUACAUAGCAUCACGGAAUAACAGAUUCAGCCUAUCAAAACAGCAACAUCAAGUACCCUACUUAACAAGCUCGAUUCACUCACCACAAGUUAUUGCAUGACAAGAUAAGCAUAGCAUCAUCAAGAAGACAUGUUUAUGUAACCAACCAAGUCAAGAACAAGUCCAUAGCAUGCAAGGAUCAACUACAACAACCUUGGCCAAAUUGAAUAACAUGUAAACAAUCUGCCAGGAAACAUUUUGAAGCAAAAGUAGAGCAUGAAAAUGACAUGCUAGACUACUCCAUAAUUGCAAACAGGGGCAUGAAUGGAUAUACAAUAACCACAUGUUCAAAACACCCUUACUGAAGUAUCUCAAAAUAUGCAUGGAUCUCUCUGUAGCAUCAAGUUUACAUGGCAUCAAAAUAACAGCAGAACAGGGACUAAAAACAGCAACAUCACGAUGCCUAGUUUGCAUGCUUGUGCUAGUCACCACAUUGAUCACAAAAAUACAUGGUAAGCACCUCUGUAAAGAAGACAUGGCAUAGUUCAAAACACAUGUAGACAUCAACCUCAUAGGAUGCACACAUCAAUCAUGGCAAAGAUGACAAAAGAGCUCGUUGUGAUAACAGACUUCAGAAAACAUUAUGAAGCACUCUUGCAAUGAUGAUUCAGGCAUCUAGAUGACCUCAAAUGAAUAUGAUGCAAUGUAAUGAAAUGAUGUACUCGUUGAGAUGAACAAUUUGACAUAUUACACGCAAGAAACGGAGCUACGGAUGCAGAGAUACGGCAUGACGAACAUGGCAUGAAAAUACUGGAAUCUGGGGACAGCAGAAUUUAGACCUCCGAAAACUGGACGAGGGGAUCCCGCGGGACGAGGCGGUGCCGCGGGCUGUUUGGAUCGGGGCUCCGGCUGGGAAGGGACGAGGGCAUCCCGGCGCGGGGUCGAGGACGACCGGCGGCGCCGGCAUGCUCGACGACGGCGGGUGGUGCUCCGGUCCUCCGGAGAGGAGCGGGAGCUGAGGAGAGGCCGUGGGUGGCCGGAUCCAUCGAACCCCGGACAGAACCGACGCCCGGACGGNNNNNNNNNNNNNNNNNNNNNNNNNNNNNNNNNNNNNNNNNNNNNNNNNNNNNNNNNNNNNNNNNNNNNNNNNNNNNNNNNNNNNNNNNNNNNNNNNNNNNNNNNNNNNNNNNNNNNNNNNNNNNNNNNNNNNNNNNNNNNNNNNNNNNNNNNNNNNNNNNNNNNNNNNNNNNNNNNNNNNNNNNNNNNNNNNNNNNNNNNNNNNNNNNNNNNNNNNNNNNNNNNNNNNNNNNNNNNNNNNNNNNNNNNNNNNNNNNNNNNNNNNNNNNNNNNNNNNNNNNNNNNNNNNNNNNNNNNNNNNNNNNNNNNNNNNNNNNNNNNNNNNNNNNNNNNNNNNNNNNNNNNNNNNNNNNNNNNNCGAGCGCAGGGGCCAACGAGUGGCGGCGGUGGAGGAGGCCGGAGGCCACGUGGCGGGAGCUGGUUGGCUGCGGGGGCAAGGGCGGACGUGUCCGGCUGCGGCUGGACGCGUCCGGCGGCGGCGAGGGAAAAUCUAGGGUUUCGUCUGCGAAUUCAUCCGCGAAUUUCGGGGGAGGGGCUAGUUUUAUAGGUAGAGGGAGCUAGGAGAGUCCAAAUGAGGAGCGGUUUUCGGCCACGCGAUCGUGAUCGAACGACCGAGAGCAUGGAGGGGAGUUAGAUGGGUUUUGGGCCACUUUGGAAGGGGUGUUCGGGUGCAAAGAGAUAGGGGCUUUACGGUUACCCGGUUAACCGUUGGAGUAUCAAACGGACUCCAAAUGGCACGAAACUUGACACGCGGUCUACCGGUGCUAUACCAAGGCCACUUGACAAGCCUCGGUCCAUUCCGAGAACGUUUAACACCCACUCACAACAAGAGACAAAAGGGGGACGCAGGAGGACAUAGGAGUGCCGGAUUGCAAAACGGACAACGGGGAAAAGGCUCGGAUGCAUGAGACGAACACGUAUGCAAAAUGAAAUGCACAUGAUGACAUGGUAAAAUGCAACACGUAAGCAAAUUACAUGGCAACGACGGCGAAUAACUGGCAGACACCUGGCGCAUCGAAUCCGGGGCGUUACAGAGGACCUCCCACGCCAGCGCUCGGCCAGAGAUAACGGUGCGGCCGGCAGUGGGUCUCGUCCCUCGCUGUCGACGAUAGCCUAAAUGCUGCCGCUCCUCCCCUUCACCGGUGGAGGGGGAUACGUCCGGAUCUGUAACCAGCGGUGAGGAUAGAAAGCCAGUGUUUUUUGAAGGAAGAAAGACAGGGUCACUACCCCUAUCUUGUUUAGAUCUAGAGAGGAUGAGAGUGUGUGAAUAGAGUGGCCCUAGCAAGCAAGCGCGGAGGCUCCGGCCUAUAUAUAAGUAGUGGGGUAGUUUUCCUUUUUCACUCCAUCAAAACAAUCGUUUAAAAUUGUGUACUAUACUACAUGCCAGGUCGCGGUUUUUUUUAGUUGUUGAUUGUUUUUUGAGAUAGCUACCCGCUUGUUCCAAGUGGUGUUAUGGUGUGCCAGGUCGCACUCUAUAUCAUUCAAGUCUGGUAGUACUACAAGUCCCUCCAUUAAAUGAACAGCCACCCCCUCAUAAAAAUUGUGAACAAGCCCAUGGCUAAAAUUAGCGGAAACGUGGGUUGCCCCAACAUGCAUUAUUAUUUAUAUUUUCUACUCCCUCCGUUCCUAAAUAUAAGUCUUUUUUAUUAGCCACACCUAAGACAAGAAUUUUUUUAUUAGCAGUGAACCCCACAUGUCAUAGACACAAAAAUUGUGGCAAGAUUCCCUUAGGCAAGCCAAAGUGUGUCUAACAAUUUGAGCAACUCAGGUUAGGCAAGUGUGGCAAGUGUGGGAAAAAUAAUGUGGCAACAUAAGACAAACAUAGUCAUAAUCCAAACAGCCCCGUGAUUUUUUGUGACAUGCAUGAAAAUUUGGUUAGUUAAAUUUAUAGUCAAAAUUUGGCAAGGUGCAUCAAAUCAACACAUGCAAGUAUCAAAAGGAAAGUCAUGGCAUGCAUGCAUGCGUUGUACUCCCUCUGUUUCCAAAUAUAAGUCUUUUUAGAGAUUGCAACAAGUGACUACUCCCUCCGUUCCUAAAUGUAAGUCUUUUUAGGGAUUCCACUAUAAACUACAAAUGGAUGUAUAUAGACAUAUUUUAGAGUGUAGAUUCACUCAUUUUGUUUCGUAUGUACUCCAGUUCAUAGUGAAAUCUCUAAAAAGACUUAUAUUUUGGAAUGGAGGGAGUACAUACGAAGCAGAAUAUGUCUACUCCUACAUACGAAGUAGCCCAUUUGAAAUGUGUAAAAAGAGUUUUAUCGAAUGCAGUGCUUUGAUGUGUCGCGUCAACUCGUACAAGCCCGAGAAAUUUGAUUACUACGACGCCCUCUCCCUCGUGAGCUGAGCUCUGGUGCCUUAACUGCACCUGUCUUUGGCUGCAUGACAGGUGGGCCAACCACCUGUUGGGCCCACCUGUCAUGGAUGCAAAGGCAGGAGCAGUAAGUAGAAGCUUUCGCUACACGCUAUCCCUCCCGCAUGAGGUGGACGGACAUGCAGCAGUGGAUUCGAUACUAUAGAAGUAGGAGUAACAUUAUUGUUCAUCUUCUCGAAGAGGCGAAGAGCCAAGUGCAAACCGAACGUGGCAGUUGCGAACGCUCGCGUGGUGCGGUUCCUUGGAGUACUAGCCAGGCUCUUGCAUGAGACAAAAUUGCUAUUGUUUAACAAUUAAACUCCAUUGUCCAUUGGUUGAUACUCAUUCUGCAUAGGUCCACACGCUUAGCACCGUUUCCUCCUAGGGUCACCAAUGUUUAUUAGCUAAUUAAUAGCAUUCCAUGCAAUGAACUAGCCAUUGCAAGUCAUUAAAAGCAUGCACACCUCUCAUCUCUUAUUGGUUGAUACGUAUGUCAAGAAACAAAAAACAAGGUAGAAGUUAAUGCACUGCGCCUAAGUGUUUUGGGACUAUUUGGUUUUUGUAAGAUGACUUACACACCUAGACAGAGGGAGUACUAUAGACCUGUAAACCAGAAAGGAGUAUUUGCCUUUCUAGAGAUUUCAACAAGUGACUAGACUUUGGCUCAAAAAAAACAAGUGACUAGACUACACCGUGUGCAGUACCCCCUCCCCUCCGGUUUAUAGGGCUCAAAUCUCAAAUCUCAUGAACCAAGGGAUUUUGCGAUUGGAGGAAUGUAUCUCGUACUUUACAAAACUACCCUAAUUAAACUCAUGCAUUAAUUACGUAGUUCUCUCAUUUUCCUCUCCGCCUUGGUCGCGGUGCACAAUAUUGAGGCUAGCCAUAGUGGGAGUAACUUAGGUAGUAACUUAACACAUCCCAAGACAAUUUUGCUUAUGUGGCAAGUAUUUAAUGAGGAAAGAGGUGCUUGUGGUAACAUAAUAUGUUACUGUAACAUAGCGCUUUCCGAGGCAAAAUGAGUCUAUGAGAUAAUAAAUGAAGCAAUCUAUGAUACUACUACUAUGUUACUUUGCACUGUGGAGGUAGUAACUUACACUAGUAUGCAUGACACUAGUCUAAGUUACUCCCCACUAUGACCAGCCUGAGAGAGUGCUUUGAUACGUUUUAGUCUCAUGACUAAAAGUAGUGGGACUAAAACUUGUUAGCCUCAUCCAUGCUUGGAUCCAAAUACUAAAGAGACUAAAAUCAAGUUAAUGACAUUUCAAAGCAUCCGGGCUCGCGUGCCAUCCACCAAAUCACAGCGAGGUGCUACAGUCGAGACUCACCUGUCACCCCGGUGUGACUGUCAUGACCCGUCAUAUCACAAAACCCACACCUUUACCAGUAGUGGUAAGGUGGCCUCCAAGUUGGACUGGACGAAGCAACCAUCAUUUCAUUGGAACGCUCGUUCAAGCCAUUUCUUCCCUUUCUUGAAGAAAACCUUACUCCAGGCUACUCACUUAUGCCAUUUUUCUUCUCUACCGACGAAGGAAAGGUGGGCGAAUCAGUUAUGCUACUAUAUUUUCAUUCCAAUAAUCUUCUUUUUGCGAAGCACCGACCGAUUCUCACAUCCUAUUCUUUUCCCGUUUUCAUUGCGAUUGUGGUUUCCUUUCGAUUGCUUUUUGUUUAUCAGUUCAUUGAUGGAUACUGGAGCACUAGGCAAAGAGUUGCCGGCGGACAACCCACUGGAGACAGCGAUCUCCAGGAAGCGAGCACCGACCAACGAGUUGACCAAGUUGGCGGGCCAACCCAUGGAGACGAAGAACUCCAAGAAACAAGCACUGGCCAAAGAGUUGAGGAUGUUGGUGGACGAACUCCUCAAAGAAAGUUGGAAGAACAACAAGGACCCCACCGUGCCUACCCCAGGAGCUCUGAUUGCCACCUAUGUGAGGCUCAAGACCGAGUUUGAGGAGAUAGUCGCCGUUGAGAAACAGUAUUCCCCUGGCAAGGUGAUGGCCCCCAUCGAGGACGAGAAGAUGGCCCCCGGAGGGAUGAGAUCCCCCGGUGAGCUGCACAAGGUAAAAAAUAAUGGCUUAUUACCAUAGUUAUGGUUUAAGAUUAUUUGCAAUGUGCUUGCUUUUUGAUUAUUUGCAAUGUGCUUGCUAAUAUGUUAGUGUUGUGCAGGUGCCGGUGGUUGUCCUUGAUGAUUCCGAUGUCGUGGCCCGUCCUGUUGGCAUCGCCCCGGAGAUCGAUUCCGAUACCGCUGUCCAUCCUGUGGACAUCGCCCCAGAGAUCGAUUUUGAUGUCGCGGUCAGUCCUGUGGACAUCGCCCCAGAAAUCGAUUCCCAUGCCGCUAUCCGUGCUGUGGUCAUUGCCCGAGAGAUCGAUGACAAGAAAUAGUUGGUCGCGCUAAUCCUUCAGGGUAGUUUGCAUUGCCCUGUGUUUAAUUACCAGAACGAUGCGUGUUAUCAAACCAUCUUAGGGCUAGUGCACUGUCUUGUGUGGGCGGAUCUUGCUACUUUUGUUUGAUAGUGAAUCAUACGAUGAAUCAUGCGAACCCUCUCUGAGUUAUGGAAACAGAUGUAUCCUCACCAGCUUUUGAUGUAAUAUAUGGCAUGCUUAGAUGUAAAUUUGAACUGUUUAUCAUAUCAGCAGGGCUUGUUUGAUGAUUCUUGGUGUUAGUAGGCUAGCUACUGUGCGAGCUAUAGUACUUGCAAAACACUCACCGAAGAGAAAGGUUGGGGCUGAUGAGCUCGUGGUACGCUUAUACUUAUCCCUCGUUGAUCGACCAAUAGCCCUAGCUCCUAAAAUUGUAGGCUUAGCGAUCAAUCAGACAAUAGUCGACAUACAUUCAGGCCUCAUUUGGUUCAUAGGGUAGGAAAAUCGUAGCAAAAGUACAGAGAACGUGCAACACAAAAUCAUAGAAGUGCAGAGACGUACUCCCUCCGUUCCAAAAUAGAUGACCUAGGCGGGCUAGUUUGGCCUAGUGGGUUUCAGUGAUAUGACAUGGUACAGUGCCGUCCAGUCUUCGCGUGUGGUAGCAGUAUUGCGGGUACAGUAAGUUUUCUUGAAGAAGCAGAAUUCAACGAAGUCAUGAUGGUUCCUUCGUCCGAACAACUUACGGUGGGAAAAGGUUGGGCCUAUGAUACGACCGGGGUAGACCAGGAUAAUUUUGUGCAUGGCAGGUGGACCAGGUGGACCAAGAUGGUCGACGUCCCACAUGUCGGUGAAUGAAAGUAUUCUUUUCGAUAUAGAGGACGAGCAACGAGUAUUCAUUGUUUAUUUUUGACGAAAGCUAUUGUCUCCACUAUUACUCCUUGACUUUGUCAAUGCCUCUCUCUCCUCCACAUAAGCAGGGACUACUUGCUAUGCAUGCAGCGGGCAGCUGGCGUCUUGAGGGGCCAUGGCGGUGAGAGCGGGCUCCGGAAGCGGUCCGGACUCCAGCAUGGCCCACCUCACAUUAUCACCAUAUAUUUCUUGGAGUCCGUGUGCGGCGAGCGGGCGAUCUCUUCUCCCUCCCCCGUUUCUCUCUUCUCAGCUGACGCCCGCCGAGCGAUUAGAUUUCGGCUAUCAACGGUUUAUUCAAUUACGGUCCCACAUGUCAGUGAAAUUGCAAGACAACGCGUGUCCCCUUUGGUGAGCGGCGUGCGAGCCGGAUUGUCGGGGUUGCGAUGCGUACGAGUCGUAAGUGUGCCGCCUUUUCCUUUAGAACUUGCAAAGCGUAACAUUUUCGCGCGAUCUAUCGAUAGAAAUCCAGAACAAAAUGACGAGGGCGAUGCUUUCCCGCUCGUUAGGCGGGCUAGUUCGAGUGAUAUGAUGUGCUACAGUGCCGUCCACUUGCUCCAUUUUUAUGUAAGCAAGAGUUUACACUCGUACGCGGGAGGAGUGCGAAACACCGCGGAUCUGAUUCUGAUCGAGGGAUAACUGUUCCCUGCUAAAUAAUGGAGGAUUGUUAGCGAUUAUAGCAUGAUAGUUAGGGCAUCUCCAGCGCUGGCCCACAAAUUUACACCAGCAUCUGUCUGAGGACACUGAUGGAUGCCAUCCGAUGCUGCCCGCAUACCUUUCGACAACUAUAUGAACUAACCGGACGAAAUUCGUGCAAACAAAGCAAAUUUCAAAUUAACCGGAUGAAAUUCAUUACAUCUCGAAAACUUUUCCUACAAACUCGACGAAAUUCAUUACAUAUUUCACACAAACCGUACUAAACCUACUAUAAACCUAAUCUAAACGAUCACCGGCGCCUGACCACCAAGUCCGGUCAUGAACCCGAGAAAGCCGGCCAUUGCCUUUGCCUCCUCCUCAUCCGCCUCGAUAACCUCCUCCUUCGGUCGGAGCACAAGGUUAUGAAGAUUUCCGCCUCCACGUCGCCGUCAAGCGGCUAAUCGGUCGCCGAUGUUUACCCCACCAAGCUUGGCGUCGACUGAGUGGAGUAGCGGUGGCCUUCCCGGGACCAGAGCGGCGGCGACCUACCGUGUACUACUCUUCCUUGCUGCCGGCUUCGUGGUCGUGGCGGUGGAGGGUGGCCCGGGGGGUGCCGGCGAUCUCCUUUGUUUGCUCCUGCAAAAGUACGUUGAAGAGAGCUUUGAAGCGUGCCCGGAGCGGAGCCGCCGAUGUCCCUCGUCUGCUCCUGCGACAGUACGUCCAAGAGAGCUUCAGAGCGCCACGAGGCCAUUGUUGAAGUGGUGCCGACAGAAAGAAGGGACCGGAGGAGAAUAAGUGUGGGUCUUUGGCUAUGGCUGGGAGCUGGGGCUCAAGUUAAUAUAGCGGGCGAAUGGCAAUGAGCCGCGGCAGACGGAUGGACAACUGGCGCCGGAGUAGGUUCGUCGGGCGUGAAUGCGGAUGCUGCUUUAGUGACUUAACUACAGAUGUGUUUGGGUGACUGACAUGUGGGCCCAACGGGCGUCUGGCCCGCAUAUCAGUGACACACCAAUUGCACCUGCGGUUAAGUCCAGUGAAUGCGGCAUUGACAUUCUGGAGAGACGGUGACCAUUUCAGGCGCAUGUGGACUGUUUGACUGGUCAACCAUACAAAUACGGAGCUAUACGGUGAACCAGCGACCGUAUAAUCAUCAUAUCUCGUAUACAAUGAUCAAAGUGAGCUAUCAAGACAAGUUCGAUGACCGCCAAUGCAUUUUACUCGGUAAUAAAUGACCAGAAUUGAAGGGGGAUCCUAAUUUGCUUCAUCUUUUGUCCUUGAGCUCUUGACAAACCAAUGCACUAUACGGUUGUCCGGUCACUCCACCCCAGAGCUCUCACCAAGCGUCGUUCAUGCCACCGCGCCGCACACUAACCGAUAAGGCAGAGAUGGCAUCCCGCCGCGCCGAGUUCCUCGCUGCCCAUGAACGCACACAAAAUGGUAGGGAAGCGAUGGCAUCCCGCUGUGCCGAGUUCAUCGCCGCUCGCGACCUCACAACUAUGUGGGAGGAAUUUGAAGAUGCCAAGGUCAAAUGGGCGGUAGAGCAAGAGGCGGCCAAAGCCGCACAGAGGGAGCGGAAAAGUCAGAAAGCACUCAAGAAAAGAGAGGCCCGCCGCCGCAAGAAAGAAAAGGACGCACGCGCUGCUGCGGAGAGGUCGGCGGAGAUCCAAGCACGGUGGGGUGUCGCCGACAAAGCCGGGAAGGAGAACGACGGCGUCUGGCCAGCAUGUGAGAAGUAGUAGUACUAGUAGUUAGUGUGUGUGUCUGUGUCUGAGUACGAGCAUGUACCAGUACUACUAGUUACUACUGUAGUUUUUAGAGAAAAUUACCAGUACAUUAGCCUAGACUAAGUGGGAAAAUUCCUAUCCUAUGCAUCAAAUGGCAUCUCUUUCUCUAUAGGAAUUGAGAUGCAUGUCAUCUCACUUACUAUGAUUUUCAUAUUCCUAUCCUAUGAACGAAAGGAGGCCUUUGUUGGAGUAAAUAUUGUAGCUAGCAGUACUGCUGGUACAGUAGUUUUCUUCAAGAAGCGGAAUUCAACAAAGUCAUGAUGGUUCCUUCGUCCGAGCAACUUCAAAGUGGGAAGUGGGCCUGUGAUUUGAUGGCUCAUUAGUCAUUGUUACUGCGGCGCGACGACCUGGGUGACUCUCCCUUGGAGUUCUGCAUGCAUGGCAAGUGGACCAGGAUGGUCGACGUCCCACAUGUUGGCGAACGGAAGUAUUCUUUCCGAUAUCGAGGAGCAAGGAAACCGCGUGGUAUAGUAUCACUACUGAUUGGUUCGCAAAAAAAAUAGUAUCACUGCCGAUUUAUAAUUAUUUUUUAUUUAUAAUGCAUGCUAGCGUUUCAACUCUGACGACGAAGGGUGCCAAACACGGCACGUGCUGGAUGUCCCACACGUCACGAAAGGAGUGGGACAUGAACAGCGUGGUAGAGCCCAGCGUAAAAAAACAGCAUGGUAGAGCGUCUCCACUUCUUCCACUUCUGGGUCGGAGACCACACGUAGUAGUACUUAGAUGUAUGAACGAUACAAAGUGCGACCUGGAGAGAAAGACAUGUCUAGUUGGAAGGUCUCGGGGCAUACACGUAAACAAAUAUAAAAGUUAAUAUGUGCCUCCAACUAAUAUACUAGUAGUAGAGUACUUAGACAUGUACUCCAUAACAUCAUCGUGCAUUGCACGUACAACAUUUAGUGGUAGUACAUAGUAAAAGACAAAUGCCGCCCAAGAGUUCCCUUCUCGACCUACUUUUGGGUGUUUGGUAGAGUGUAUGGAGGGUGCAUGAGUCCAUACUAGUUUAGCACAAAUACACUAGAAGCAUGCAUGAAGAGAGAAUGCAUGAAAAGGGGUGUUGAGUUGAGCAUGCAUGAAGAGGGAACAACUAUGCUGAGACAAGAACGCAACCAAACACACCCUGUAUGCCACGCAUGUUCAUACCAUUUGUGCCUUUCUAUUUCACUUACUACACUACAUUACUCAGGUUCGUACGUCCACUCCUGGGUACAUGUCCGUCUCGUAGUUUUAGUGCCACGUGUUCUUCAUAUAGAUGGAACGAUCGUUGCAUAACACGUGCGCCUUGAUGCUAGAUGUCUCGCGUGUUGGCAAAAGGAUGAACAAAGCUCACGUAAAAAAUAGAGUGGAAGAACAUAGAUUCCGGACGACCGAGAAGAAGCAAGGAACCUCGUGGUGGAGCGUCUGCACUCAUAAUAUUUAAAUUAUUCAGUGAUAUAAAAUUAACCAAUCAUCUCCACAGUGGACUGGAGGAGUACGAAACACGACAGCCCAGUGUAGUUACAUCAUACUAGUACAUUGCUAACCCAUGCUAUCACCAUAUUUCUUGGCUUCCGUGUGACACCUAUCUCUAGUAAUCCAGCAGCCUGUAUCGCUUCUCCCUCCUCGUCUCUAUCAAAGUGCGGCGGGGUGGCGUUUCUGCCGUCUAUUGAGGUCGGUUAACUAUCACAUGUUAGCGACAUGCCAAGAGCAUUCUAAAAAAAUUCCUUUCACGUUCCGUUUUCAAAAAGAAAAAAAUCCUUUCACGUACGAAUUUGCCUGUAUGCUUUGAGCAACUUGCAUGUCCUAUACUGCUCCUGUUUGAUACUCUAACUUAGCUAGAGGUUAGACUAACUCAUGACUAACCCUGAACUAACUGUAGCGAAAGAGGUGUUUGGGUGACAGGGUUAGAUUGACAAUAAAUGCACUUCAUGGAGAGAGAAAAGUGAUUUUUCAGUGGUCCCAAUGAAAACUAUCUCCAGUUAGCACCUCUUGGGUGGGAUAGUUUUUUUUGGUGGGUUCGGUGCAACUUGCUCCAAUUUAAACCCUCAUGCUUGGAUACUUUAGGGCUAUUUGAGCCCCAACUAGCUCAAACUAACUCUAACCCAUGGAUCCAAACAGGGUCUAUGGCCAGUCUCGACGCGGAGCAGUCGCGUGCACCGGGAAGCGGCGCUCUCUCGGCCGUCGCGCCACUUCAAAGCCGGCGCCAGUGAGAGGUCACCUCCGCUCUGGCCGGGCAUUAAUGUGGCACUGACGCUCCAGGCGAUGCUGACCGUUUCAUGCGGGAAGCGCGCGCUGGCAAGGGAGUAUAGGUUUUGAACCGUUUCAGGUGUAGUAGUGAUGGUAGUUUGCAAAACUACUCAAUUAUUGCACUCAGUUUCCUAAGAAAUUGUGGUAAAAAACGUUACUCCACAGCCCGCUUCCCUUCUCCUUCUUGCUCGUGAUUUACGUGGCCAUGUUAACGUGGUUGUGUCAAAAAAAUGUCACUUCCUGCUCGUGAUUUGCGUUAUAUAAUUACAAGCAAGAUUCUCGUGCAUUGCACGGAACAUCAAUAUGCAUUUUUUUACAAAACACCUGUUGUGAUUGACCCAUGCAGGAGUAAUCCCAUGUGUAAAAACUAAUGAUAUCUCGAGCAUUUUAUCGGAAAACUGGUAUCUCGAGAAUGUCAUCAAAAAAAUGAAAGAUGAGAGAUAAGGCGAGGAGGAGUGGAGCGUGGUGGUGACUGGUGGUCGGAAUGGGCGGAGGCAUGGGGAUGGACGGCGCCGGCAGGCGGCAGCGGCCACCAUGCAUGCUAGAUUGUUCCAGAGACUUAUUCCUUUUUUAAUUGCUGAGCAAUGAGGUUGCGGGAGAUAAUGAUGUGGAGAGAGGUGCGGGUAUCUUUUGUAAAAUUAUCAUAGUUUGCUUCCUAUCCGUCAGAUAUAGAUCAUACGGUCUGUAUUACAAGAUGGCAGGCACACCAUCAUCGCCAACUCGUUUUUUUAUAAGGGUAUACAGAUGAUAAGUUUGCUGACUACUAAAGUAAAGUGGAAUCUGUCCAUGUUAUGCAAGUAAAUAAAGGUGAUUGUUUAUCAUACGGGUAAGGUUGGAUGAAGGGUGGUAGGAACAAAUGCUCUGCCUAGAGCAUGUGUGUGUGAGAUGGAGUCUUAGUGUGUGUGGUGUGUGUGUGUGUGUGUGUGUGAUAGAGAGAGAGAGAGAGGAGAGAGAGAUGGAGUCUUAGUNNNNNNNNNNNNNNNNNNNNNNNNNNNNNNNNNNNNNNNNNNNNNNNNNNNNNNNNNNNNNNNNNNNNNNNNNNNNNNNNNNNNNNNNNNNNNNNNNNNNNNNNNNNNNNNNNNNNNNNNNNNNNNNNNNNNNNNNNNNNNNNNNNNNNNNNNNNNNNNNNNNNNNNNNNNNNNNNNNNNNNNNNNNNNNNNNNNNNNNNNNNNNNNNNNNNNNNNNNNNNNNNNNNNNNNNNNNNNNNNNNNNNNNNNNNNNNNNNNNNNNNNNNNNNNNNNNNNNNNNNNNNNNNNNNNNNNNNNNNNNNNNNNNNNNNNNNNNNNNNNNNNNNNNNNNNNNNNNNNNNNNNNNNNNNNNNNNNNNNNNNNNNNNNNNNNNNNNNNNNNNNNNNNNNNNNNNNNNNNNNNNNNNNNNNNNNNNNNNNNNNNNNNNNNNNNNNNNUGUGUGUGUUUGUGUGUGAGAGAGAGAGAGAGAUGGAGUCUUAGUGUGUGUGGGGGGGUGUACGUGCGUGCGUGUGUGUGUGUGUGUGUGUGUGUGUGUGUCCCGGGGUCCUCUGUGGCGGAUGUAAUUUAAGUGUGCAUGGCUUCAUCAUAGAGAGGUGAUGUGUAUGGUAGAGGCCACCAACGAUGGGGUGCAAGAGAGAAAAUGCCCGUAGGAGGGAAGAGAAGGUGCGUGCGCGUGAGAGGAGUCGACAUAGAGAGAACGUGUUUGUUCGAGAGACACCACGGAAGACUACUAUAUAUCGAUGGUGCAUGUAGGCGGGAAUUAAACAAAGGGAUGGUCUUAUUGGUUUCGGGGAUAUAGGAGAAGAGUCAGAGGCGCGCGGGGCGGGGGGUAGCUAGAAGGAGAUUGUUAAGUGUGAGUGUGUGUUUUGCCCAUCCAGGCGGAAGUUAUGUGCACAAAAGAGGAGAAAGAUUCGAUGUGGCGUUAGGAUUGAGGGUAAUUAACUACGUAUGGAGACAUAGAGACCUUGAACGUGCAUGUGUGAGAGGUAUACAUGUAUACGUGGGAUGUGUGUGUGUGCGCGCGGGCAUGAUCGAGAUAAAAGAAAGAAGACAUAAGUCCUAAGAUCAACGACAUGGGAGAGACGGAUCGGUAUGACAAUAUGCAUGCAUGUGAGAAUGCAGGGAAGAAGGCCCGACAAUUGAGCAUGUGUUUUUUUCUUUAAGAGAUAGUGGCGUGGGCUGGAGCAUGCAUCUAUGGUGAGCAGAGGGGGUGAGGCGCAACGAUUGUGCAAAAGAGAUCAACCUAUAAAUGCAUAUGUAUGGAUAGACAUAUAUAGUGUGGGUGAUAGGAAGCAAGACUCCGUGCGAGAAAGAAAUGUUGACGGAGAAACUACAGAUAGAUACAGAGAUGGAGAUGCUAGCUAGAGAGACAUCUGUUAGUUUGGGUGUCGGAGAUGACCGUCGGGUGGUUCAAAGGGUGAAGUUAUAUAUGUGUGUGAGAGGGCACUUGACUGCAUGCAUGUAGAGAGAAACAUAUGUAGUGUGCGUGAUAGGAAUCAAGAGUGAGGGCGAGAAAGAAGGUUGAUGGAGAAACAGAUAAAUAGAAAGAUAAAGAUGCUAGCUAGUGUGCGCUAGAGAUAGGAGUCGAGUGGAUCAGAAGGUUGGGUUAUGUGUGUGGGUGUGAGAGAGAUAGAGAGAGGGUGCAUGCGAGUCACAUACAAACAAAUAUCAGAGAGAAAUGAGAUCCAGAGAGACGGAGUUUUGUGUUUGUGAGAGAGAAAGAUAUUUCACAACGAGAGUGAUAGCUAGAGAGACAUAUGAGGGAACGCAAGACAUCUCUAGGGAGAGAGGGUGUGUUUGAGCGACAUACAAGAGAACAAUGGAGAAAUAUGAGACCCUGGGAGACAGAGUUUGUGUUUGUGUGUGAGAAAGAGAUAUUGAAGAGGAAGAGUCGUAGGUUCUCAUAUCUAAGGAGCGAAAAACAUCUCUGUAUGAGGGGUGUAUGAGUGGCACACAUGGGAAUAGUUGAGAGAAAUGACACCCCGGGAGACAAAGUUUUGUGUUUGUGUGAGAGAAAGAGAUUCCACAUGGAGAAUCAUAGCUGGAGACACAUAGCAGGGAGCGAGAUAUACUUAGAGAGAGAUAGAGUGAUGAAGGUUGAUGGAGAGAGUAUCGUCAGUGUGUUACGAAGAUAAAAGAUCAUUGUCGACAUACAGGUAGCACGAGAGAUGCCUGAGAGACGAUGAACGCGUAUAGGUCCAGAGAGAUAGUCUUAUAUAAGCAUGAGUGAUAGCUAUAUGAGACGAAUAUCUGGAUUAAAGGGGAUUCAAACAUUUAAACUGGAGAUCAUGACAUCGAUAAUAUCAUAACGCAAAUUGGUGUAUCAAACAUGCAUAUUCAUUUGAAUUUGGGUACACGUGUAAUGUUAUAUAGUUUAUCAAUAUUGGUGAUCCAUAGAUUCUUCAAUUACAAACAAUGCAUGGUUUAUAUGCAAUUAGUGUCUAAACGGGAUUACACUAUAUGUUGCGUGUGUGAAACACAUUAUACAUGUUUGAGAAGUUAAAAAAAACCACAUGAAACACACAUUAAUUGGAGACAGUUAGCGAGGAAUGCAUACAUUGGAUUUCAACAUAAAGUGGUUUCAAAUAUUUGAAAAUCCAAAUUGAUGGAUACAACCUUAUGAAUCUGAGAUCAUGCCAUUUGUAAACCAUAUUUACGUAUAAAUGGUGUUGUGCUUUUGAAAGUAUAUAUGUAAAAAAAUGAUGUAUAUAGAAUGUAAUUCCAAUUGAAAAUGGAUCCCGCUCGAAAAAAAUAGUAGAAUACAAACGGGAUUCAAAUUGAGUUGGCACGGUAAACGUGCAUUGUGCAAAAUUUGAAUGAAGCAGGGAAAGUCGCAGUAACCGCCCGAAACCAAAAUCUGCGAGAUGGAAAUCACUACUACCUAUCCCUGCCGUGCAAAGCCUAUCUGCUGGAUUUCUAUAGGUUUCGAUAGGGGUAGGUUUGUAAUUUCACCAAAACAUGACGUAACCACCUCUCACCCGGAUUCAUACACGGUGGGCGCCAAAACACAGUGUGCCCUCGGCCGAAAUCGACUCCCUUCCCGAUUCAUAUUCAUACACGGUGGGCGCCAAAAACAAACUCUCGUCGGCAAAUAUUCGGUGUAUGCGAGAUUACCUUUCUAUCCCCAACCGACUAAUGCUGUUGUGAUGUAGUAGAAAUUUGAAACGGGGGCUAAGUUUGUAAAUUUUCUUGCAUUUGAGACAAGCGCGCCCUGAGUACAUGGUUCCCCCCUUCCUCUCUACCUCCCUUUUCCCCAUUCGUACUCCGUGGGCGCCAAAACACCCUCUCCACCCCACCCUCCUCCGUUCGCCGCCGUCCGCCACCCCAUCCACCGACGUCCUCCUCCACCAUGCCGGAGCUGAUACCCCGACGCCACCGUCCAUUACAAGAGAUCGACCUCUCUCAUCCAUGCCUUCGGACCGGGAUCCUUGCAUCCCGUCCUCUCGCUUCAUCCCCGCCGUCGUCCACCUUGCCGGCGCCGCUCCUACGACCGUCUCGUCCACCACGCCACGCCACCACCGUCUACCCUCUUAGAUCUGCUUCCACGCCGCCGACAGCCAUCGCUACCGCAGCACCGUCAAAUUCUCACCAGAUGCGUACACGGUGCCGCACCAGAGGCGGUACUCUUUCGUAUCUGCUCAACUUAUUUAUCACAGCAAGAAAAUAAAUCGCCACUGCUUUACUCUGAUUUCUUGUCUUGGUUGCGAAGUUGCCUUUGUCUGGUUUGCACCUUCAGAUCCGCCAUGGCACGCUCAACACUAUACUCCCAAUGCUUAUGGUUUUCCCCUUUUAUAUUCCACACUAGUUAAAUCACAGUAGACUAAAUUUCAAAAUUGGGUCAGUCGAUUUUUCAUAGCUCGCCGGAGUUCGCCGGUGUGAUCCAAGGGGCUCGGGUGGUUGUGGGGCCUCGCCGAACGAAGAAAACUCGACGCGAGUGGGGGUGGGGGUGGCGGAGGAACACAGGCGGUGGGGGCGAUGGGGGUCGGUGGUCCGGCCGGCGGCCCGUGCGGUGUUCUGUAUGGGAAGAAUCACACACGAGGAAGAAGAAGGGUUAGGAGACGUAGGAUCUUCAUCCGACCGCCUGAAAUGGUCGAGAGACAACUAGGAGUUGCAUUCUUAAUGUGCUCUGGUUCAUCAUAUGUAGGCACUGCGCAACCAACAUUUUAUUAUCCAAAAUCUGCUUGCUCUUCUUUACCAUGUUCGAUAGUGCUGGCAUGUACGCGAUCGAUAGGCUUUCAAUUACUAGCGGCAAUACAACACCGUAUUUUCAAGCCAGUUCCACUUUCCCGAUUUAUAUAUCGUGGUUAUGGUGUACCCCUGUUAUGUACACUAUGAUCUGCCUAGUUGUUGUGUGCUCUUGUUAUCAUGGUUUGGCAAUAAACUAUCUAUACAGUAUAUUAUGAACCUAUCAUCUGCCAGCUAUCCUUACUUCUGGAGCCUAUUUUUUUGUGUACUUGUGCCAGAUUAUAUAAAUGCACGCACGAUAUUAUAGCACACAUGAGCUCUCUCAUCAGAAUCCAGUUAUAGCACAUAAGUGUUUACAGGGGCGCCCCUAUAUUAGAAUAUCAUCUGCAUUACAAAGAUAAUCUCACAACUAUUUAUGUUUUCAUGGUUCUCAGAUAUUAUACGCAAUUCCAGUGAAUAUCAGAAUCCGCGCAUCAGAAGAAUAUUGUGGAACACUGCAAUGACUUACAAAAUUGGCACCCAGGCAUUGAGUGCCAUUCUGGAAGCAAUGAAACUCGUACGCUCCCCACCUGUUGAUUCUUGUUCAGAAUAUCAUCCUAAUGACUAUUCUAACCUCGAGUCAAAGGCAGAUGGCCCGUCCUGUUCACCCAUCAAGGUGUCUGUUCUAAUUUGGCAAGGUUUUAUUGAUUGCGCGUAUCUUGCAUAUGUUGUCUUGCAUUUCUUCUACUUUGUUGCACCAUCAUCUGCUUAGUUUACUCAUCAUAUAACUCGAGAUGCCAUGCCCGUCCAUUAUCAAUACAUAUUACAUCUGUCGUCAUACCAUGUUUUUCCACUCAAAUGUUGUUUUUGUGCAUCAGAUAUCAAAAAGGAAGAGGGUGAUUGCCGAACCUGAAGGAGCACCAGCAAAGUCAUUGAAAAACGUGGUGGUGCCGGAGAAAUCAGACAGCGCCCCACUUAUAUUGGUUGUACAACCAGUGACACAAAACAUAGGAUCGACUCCAGCAGACUGUACCCAUACUUCACUGGCAACGCCACUAGCCCCACCACACAGGACCUGCACUCCAGCAAAAGGUAUACCAAUUUCAUUUGCCAUAGCACCUGCCGUACCACAGAAAAAUCCCACUCCAGCAAAAAGUACAACAAGUCCACCGGCCGAAGACCUAUCCCAACUGCAGAGACGGCCAAUUCCUGCAGAUUGGAACCCCAUUCCAUUUAUUCCCAGUUUAAAAGACAAUGCUUUCAAUGUUGUUAGGGACUACGUGCAUAUAUUCCCAUCAUGGGAAGAUUAUAGUGAAGACAAACACCAUUUUCACAUCUUCCUGUCCAACUUACGUGUAAGUGCCAUUAUUCAUGGUUAUUAUUUUCCUGUUUUCUGCUGAUCGAACACAUCAAUGAUUUACAUUACAUUGUUGUAACUAGGUGAGGGUCAAUCUGGAUAGUCAUGAUGAGCAAAGCUUGCUUGUGCUUUUCAAGGAAGCAUUGCAGCAGUAUCGGUGUUACCUGAGGAAAUCACACUUUGAUGGCAAGUCUAUAAACGAAUUUCCGGUGAAGUUUGUUGUGCUAAAUUUAGAAGACAUUAAAUGGAAAAACCUUGUUAUGCACUGGUCUCGUUCCCAGGAUGAGGUACUGUUUAUGAAAUCACAUAACAAUUUGAACUUCUACUUUUCUGCAUGUGCCUUACAGAUCUUUUUUGCAGGAAAUCAGCUCGAAGAAGAAUUCCGGUUUGAAAAGAACGACAGGAUAUCGCAAAUAUGAUGUCCGCUGCUUUGCUCUUGUUAGUACCUAUUGUCCUGUAUCACUGUACUUGCAUACAUACCUGGUUCAUUAUGUGACAGCAGUAUGCAUGAUAGCUUGCUUAUCAAUUUUUGCUCCAAAUUAUCUGAUCUGUAUGAAUGGUUACAUUAGUGUAGAAUAUAUCCAAUGCCAAUGAAUUUUUUUAGCUCUGCAUUGUUCUUGUAAGUACAUGAUGUCCUUUAUCAAUGUACUUAUAUUGACAGGUAGUUGUUCAUGUACCAUCACUCUGCAGCUUAUUUUUCUUUGCCCUCCAUUUUCUACACCAUAUUAAUGUAGAGUUCUACAUGUAAAAUGCAAAAAAAAACUAUUACAAACAAAAUUGUUUGGUUCCCCUAAAAAAUGUGAGGUUGAAAGGUCGUCACAUAGGAGCAAAAGAUUAUUUUUCUUCAAGUAAUCAUUAUUUGAUCAUAUUAACUAUGCACUUGUGAUCAUCAUUCUUUUUCUUUUCUUUUUUUUGCGGGUGACACUUGUGAUCAUCAUUCAACCUUCAAAAACCAUUAGCUCUAAAGACAGGAACGAAAAUAACAGAAGGCGAAGUAUCCAAUAAAAAAUUCAAAAUUCCUACAUGAGCCAUCAGAUCUAUAAUGGACGCCAGAUAUUAAAGGCGGGAUCCCUAAGCAUCCACGUACUUAAAUGCAAUUAGCGGAUAACUCCCUAACUUAUCCAUCAUCAAGCAGUAAAAAUCCUUUGUGCGUAUCCCUUGGAUCGGUUCACGUUCCAAUCUAUGAGUACGUCGCAAUGGAGAAUCGUGUUCCGGGGGCCAUUAGUCCUUGCCCUCCGUCGGCAGCAACAUGUCCACCGUCGGCAGCGUCGAGCCCUCCUCCGGUGGCGACUCAAGCCAUGUCGUUCCCUUUGCCGGCAACAACGGGCCCUUCCUCAAUGGCGACUUGAGCCAUGCCCUUUCCUCCGUCGGCGGCUUCUGCCGGCUGCUGCUCACCCUCCUCCGGUUGCGUCUCAACCUUCAGAUUACUCAACAUCAGCGCUCGUUCGUGCAAACCACAAGUGCACCAAGGCCAUUGCCUUGAGCACCAUGCAAAAAGUAAAACGUUGCCCUGCAUGCAAGGGAGAGAGAGCAAGUAAUCAUGCGCUGAGAGACGCAUGAGGGAGUCCCGGUGGCUCUGCGUUGCUUCUGCUGCUGGCUCUUCGUUGCUGCUGCUGCAAAAUGAGCUAGUCCUUGGAGCAGCAGCAGGAGCAGCACGUUGAGAAGGGGAGCACCGGCGGCCGGCAGGAGCAGCAUGUGGAGACACCGGGAGCAGCAGGGGAAGGCAAGGAGAAGCAAUGGGAGCAAGAAGGGAAGGUGGUGACGGGGCAGCAGGGGCCUCCGUGGAGCAGCAGAGCGGUGACGGCUGUGUCAGGAGUGAGCAUAGCCAGAGUUCAUCCCGAUUUGGGGAGCAGGCUGCCUGUUUUAGUCAAACAGGUAAAAGGGCAAAAUUGCCCUCUGUUUUGUGCACUCAAGUUGUUUUCCCUUUGCAAAGAUUAUUUGUGUUGUACAAAAGUGGCAAAAGAAAGAAAUGCAAACUAAGGGGUGGCACCUGAUCAAUUACAAUGUUUUUUUUUUUGAGAGUACGCAAUCGCGUACCUUAGCUUUAUAGAAGGCAGAAAUAUGUACAAGAAGUUUUACAAAAAGGAGGCAUAUCCUAGCACACGACAAGACCAUUGCCCGGGACCCCCAACUCCACUCCUGAAACUAAACUCUACUACUCACAGAAGAUGCUGACUCCUCGGCCUCUUGCCAACAUCCAAGUGCGUAAACUCUCGAAAAUCUGCGAGGUGAAGUGUUGCACCGUAUCAAUUGAGGUACGCGGGCCAAACAAGAUCCCAUUCCUCUGCUUCCAAAGCUGCCAGGAGAUCAACAUGAUCAACGAGUCAAAGGCUUUCCUAUGCUCAGCAGGGAUACGAGCGCGACAAGCCAUCCACCAGGCCUCCAGGGUGUCCCUCGACGUAGGGAUCAGUGAGGUAUCCACUCUGGCCUAAAGAAAACACCGGUGCCACACUUGUCGAGCGAACACGCACUGGAUAAGGAUGUGGUCCACCGUAUCUUCAUCUUGAGCACAGAUGAAGCAUGGUGAGCGCUCCUCCUGUAGCCCAUGUCUGAAUCUACGAUCAGCUGUCUAGAGACGAUAAUGUGUGGCUAGCCACAUAAACAGCUUACAAGAGAGAGGCGCCCAACACUUCCAGAUCGCUUUUGCCAGGGCGAAACCGAUACUCCCUUCCCACAACAUCGCAUAGGUGGAUGCCGAGGAGUACACCCCAAGAUUGUUCCACUUCCAAGUAGGAACGUCUGAAAGUGCCGGAUCAAGCUGAAUAUUGAUCAUGAUCUCCCAUAACCGAACAAUCUGCACCAUGCCAUCAGCCGAUAACUCCCCACAAACAUCAUUGGCCCAACGAUGGAGCUGCAAAGCCUCCGAGACCGUCCUCCGGUUGGCCACUUGUGUGUGCACCUGUGCACGGACCAUAGGCGCCAGCUCAGCCACGGUGGAUCCAUUGAGCCACCUAUCUUUCCAGAAUAAAAUGCUCCUUCCAUCUCCAAUGCUCCAUUGCACAAGGCUGGUAAACACCGCUUGAGUCUGUUUAUCCAUCACGAGUGAGAGACCUUGCCAAGGCCUCCCCUGAUCCGUGCGUUUCAACCAUUCCCAGCGCAAUCUAAGAGCCAACCCCUGCCUGUUGAGGUCGAUCACUCCGAGCCCUCCAAGUUGUUUGGGAUGGCAAACUUUCUGCCAAGCCACUAAACAUUUGCCUCCAUGGAUUUGCUCCGAACCAGCCCAAAAGAAAGCCCGACAUGCCUUAUCAACCUGAUUCAGCGCCCACUUGGGAGCAUCAGCGAUCAUGAGAUGAUGCGUAGGCCUAGCACGCACCACAUUGUUUACCAGAAUCAGUCUCCCUGGCCUCGUGACCAGCCCCCUUUGCCAUCCCGGAAGGAGGUUGAGCACUUGGUCGACAAUAGGCUGCCACUCUGCUCUCGUGAGCUGCUUGAUCGAAAGUUGUAGCCCCAGAUAUUUACAUGGGAAGGAAUCCAUGCGCCAAGGUAAAGCUUGUGAAACUCGCAGCGUGUCAGCUUCCUCAGAUCUGAUCAUGAUCGCCGGAGACUUGGCAAAGUUGACAUGUAAACCUGACGCUCUGCCGAAGAUUUGCAAAGCCUCUCUGACAAAGCAAAGGUCGCUGAUUGUGGGCCUGAUAAAAAGGAUUACAUCGUCUGCGUAAAUCGAGAGUCUCUGAAGAGGAGUGCAUCCUGGCAUCGCGCUGAUGGCCAUCAUCUGCUGAGCCUUGAUCAUCAUCGAGGAGAGAGUAUCCAUGGCAAUGACAAACAGAAGAGGGGAGACCGGGUCCCCUUGGCGUAGCCCUUUUGCAUGUCUGAACUUCCUGCUUUGGCAGCCAUUGACAAUCACCCGUGAGCUGGCUGUGGUGAGCAGCGUAGCCAGCCUCGACACCCAAAGCUCAGAGAAGCCUUUGGCUCGUAGCACCUCAAAUAGGAAAGACCAGGAGAUGGAGUCAAAGGCGCGUGAAAUAUCGAGCUUGAUCAUGACACCUUUCGCCUUUCUUUUAUGCAGAUUUCGAGCCAACUGUCUUACCAGGAGGAAGUUGUCGUGAAUAUUCCUCCCACGGAUAUAAGCCGACUGAUUCACUUUCACCAAAUCUCCCAUACGUGGGAAGAGCCUCGAAGCCAUCAACUUAGAGUUAAUCUUGGGUAUGCUAUGAAGUAGGCUGAUUGGCCGAAAAUCUCCAAUUCUGCAAGCAUCAGGUUUCUUGGGGAUGAGAGUGAUAAUGGCCUGAUUAAGCCUGCCAAAACCCCGGCCAUUACCCAACUGAAAUUUGUGAAUCGCAGCCAUGACAUCCUCCUUAAUGAUCUUCCAAGCUCUGCAGAAGAAGAGAUCAAUGAAUCCAUCCGGACCGGGCGCGCGAUCCGAUGGCAUACCUUUGAUAACCGUCCAGAUCUCCUCCUCGGUAAAGAUGUUAUCCAGCUCAUGCAGAUCUAAAGGCUCCACCCCCAAGAAAUCCAGGUUGAGGGUUAGGUCUCUGGAUUGGUACGUGCCCAGCAACUCCUUGUACGCGUUAUAGAACGCCUCCUCCUUGCCCUCUUGCUCUGUGAUGAUCUGAUCGCCAAGGUGCAGCGCCGGGAUGAAAUUCCUUAGUCUCCUGCCAUUAGCCAUAAGAUGGAAUAGUUUGGUGUUGGCAUCCCCUUCACAAAGCCAACGAAUCCGAGAGCGCUGACGGGCAAUCAUGCAUUCAAGCGAUGCCAGCCCCAGGGACGCCAGCUUCAGAUUGUUGCGCAGCCACCGCUCACCAGCAGAAAGAACACGAUGGUCCAUGGCUCUGUCCAACUGCAAGAUCACCCAAUUCGCGAUUGCAAUCUGCAACUUGACAUUCCCAACUUUUUUCUGACCCCAUGCCGUAAGAUGCUGUGCAGUGUUACGCAGCAACACAUCCAGGCGAUGGAAAGGCUCCGUUAUGUCCAGAUCACAGAUCCAGGCCUCCGUGACUGCCUCCUCAAAGCCCUCCAACUUGGUCCAGAAUGCCUCAAAGCGAAAUCUUCUGUGCGGCUGUAGGUGAUCAUCUAAAGCCAAGUGGAGCGGGCAGUGAUCCGAAGUCGCAGUUGACAAAGCCUGAAGCAUGCAAUCGGGAUGCUCAAGCUCCCAGUCCACCGACACGAACGCUCGAUCGAUCUUAGUCAGAGUAGGGACUUCUCUUUCGUUGCUCCAAGUGAACUGUCGGCCGUGGAGGAAGAGCUCCUUCAGACCAUUGUCGUCGAUAAACCUCCUAAAUUUACUCAUCGUCAUCCUAUCCAACAGCGAGUUGUUUUUGUCAGAGGCCUGAAGGAUAAGGUUGAAAUCAGCCCACCGCCGGCAAGUAAGCAAACCCAUCAUACAUUGGGCCACAACAUUGCAAAAUGAGACCAACCCAAGGGCUAACCCUCGUUGGCAUUUAUUUAUAGGAGAAACUCCGCGAGCACCACGCGUCCAAGCCGGGACUUGAACUCGGGUGGGCUGGCAGCAACCUCAGCUGCCCAGCCAACGGGUCGACGCCCCGUCCUCAGUAAACGGCGGCAAACAAUCAAAUCCCCCCAGUAACUACGGGCGAAGAUCAUUGGCCGUUGGCUAUGCUAGAAUAUCUCGGUGCGGUUAUAUCGGGACGUGGAGUUUCUGCACCCGAGCUCAUAUGAGCUCGGGUGAACAGUAAAAUCGAAAAAAAGUCGAAAAUUUUUCCAAAAAUUCCAAAAAAAAUUUGGUAGAAACAUUGACAAAAGUUUCAAGUGCUUGCAAAAAUUCGUCAUGAAAUCACAUUUUUAAAAAGCGUGGCAAAAAAACAAAAUCGGUACUCUGAAAAUGCUACUUUCAAAGCAUUUUGGAGGCUGAAUUUGUUUUUUUUUGCCACGCCUUACAGGAAUGUGAUUUCAUGAUGAAUUUUUGCAAGCACUUGGAAAUUUUGUCAAUGUUUCUCUGAGAAUUUUUUUGGAAUUUUUUGAAUUGUUUUUGAAAUUUUUUUUUCGAUGGAGCAGAAAGGCACUUUCGGUUAUAUCGCACCUACUUCCAUGUGUUUCGGUCCGUGGGACCCAAACAGAGGUAGUAGUUGCUUAUCUGAAACUACAAGUUCAUGUGCCAAUAUUUUAUUAAGCUGAAAUUGUGCAAAACUUUACAAAGAUGUUAGUCAAUUUAUGGGCUUUGUGCCAACAUUUUGUCUGCGCAUGGAAUUAGCAGUUGUGUAUUCAGAUUUUCAUUGUUUUCAUCACCACCGGCCAAUAAUCCUCAAAAAAUACAGGGGAUUUGCACAGAUCCAGCACUAACGGAUUAGCAAAGCUUCAGCAUUUGCAUGUGCAAUUAUUCAGAGAACAGAGGCUGCGCUGAACAUUUCGUCAGAGAAAUUGAGCAUGGGGCAGCACACGUCCGCCGUGUUGCGACGCAGCAGCUUGGUGGCCCUGGUAGCACGGUGCUGCGCAUCACCUAAUUUAGUCUAAUCCUUGGCCACUAACAAACCAGAAACAACUAGCAGAAGCAAACUUACUUCAAAACGCAGGAACACAUCAGAUACAACUAUCAAUCGUCACCGUCUAGUAUAACCCGAUGCAAAAUCCCACGAGAAGAACGGACAAAAAGACAACAGGUUAACAAACAAGCACACAGAAUUGCAUCAUGCUCCGGACACAAAAUCCUGCAGUUUCUAGUGAAAGCAGGCAUGCUUUACACGCUGGAAUGAGGUAGUCUCAGCUACAACAAAAACCACAAUGUCCAGAAGUUAAGAAUUGCAUAGAAGAAGACAUUAUCAAGCACUCAUCCCAUACGAAGGAUAAUGAGAGGAAAAUGAUUGUUGGCAAAAGAGAUUAUCAAGCUCAACACAACAGCCUACUUUCAGCAAGAAAUACAGGCUUAGCCGGCAAAGGCAACAAGGGAGAAAAAAGCGAAACAAAUUCAUAUGCAAUGCAGAUACUCCCUCCGUUCCGAUUUACUCGUCAUGGUUUUAGUUCAAAUUUGAACUAAAACUGGAACGGAGGGAGUAGAUUCAGAAGCACUCGUCCCAUAUGAAGAACAGAAAAGGCAAGCGUAUUCCUAUGCUGUCAUGGAAACAUAACAAUGGCACAAAAAUACACAGAAGUUUCAGGUUAGAUGAGAGGAAAGUGAUUGUUGAAGAAAGCAUAUAAAGGCCUAAACAAGCUGUUCACUUUCCCCCUAUUGGUAUAGUAUGGAAAACUACCAGCAGUACAUAGAAAGUGUUUUAAGCCGAUGCAGGUUUAAAAGCCCAUAUACAAUUGCAACUAAGACGAACAAACAGCAACAAGGCCAUCGCCGGAGAGCAUGGAAAUUGCAAGACAACUCAGGGUAAUCUGCAUACGAAGGAUAAUGAGAGGAAAAUGAUUGUUGGCAAAAGAGACUAUCAAGCUCAACACAACAGCCCACUUUCAGCAAGUAAUAAACAGCAAAACGUACUUAACCGAUACACACUUAGCCAGCAAGUAAUAAACAGCAAAACGUACUUAACCGAUACACACUUAGCCAGCAACAAGGGGAAAAAGGUGAAACAAAUUCGCAUGCAAUGCAGAUAGACUCAGAAGCAUUCAUCACAUACGAAGAACAGAAAAGGCCAGCAUAUUCUUAUGCUGUCAUGGAAACAUACAACAAUGGAGCAAAAAUACACAGAAGUAUCAGAUUAGAUGAGGAAAGUGAUUGUUGAAGAAAGCAUAUAAAGGCUUCAACAAGCUAUUAAAUUUGAAAUGAGAGGAAAAUUGGUAUAGGAUGGAAAACUGUCAGCAAUACAUAAAAAACGUUUUAACAGAUACAGGUUCAAAAGCACUCUCAACCCAUAUACCAUUGCAACAAAGACAAACAAACAGCAACAAGCUUAGCCAUUGCCGCAGAGCAUGGAAAUUGCAAGACAACGCAGGGUAAUCUGAAGGUUUUCAUGAUGCAUUUGGUGAAAGGCUUAAAAAACAGACAUGCAUACACAAUGGCUAAAACAUAUACAGCAGAUCAAUCACAUAUAAUCAAUAUUCAACUACCAGAAUAGUCAUUAAUCCAAAACGGUAGGUGCUAAGCUUAGCACAUCUAAGCAUGAAAUUUAAGAGUACCAAGUUUUCUCAUGGACCAAAACAAGACCACUGUAUCAAGACAAGGCAGUUCAACUCUUUAAUCCACAAAAACAGGUCAUAAAACAGAAAAGACACAUUAUCUAGAUAAAGCAAAGAUGGCCCAUUAUACCCUUCAAGCAGCAGCAGCAUCUGCACUCUUCUCACCCUCACCACCCUGAGUAGUUGCUUUAUUAGCCUCUGCCUCGGCAGCAGCAUCCAUCUCCUGUGCAGUAGCAUCGACAUCAUCUGUAGCCGGACGAAUCUGCUCCUCCUCUGGAAGUGGCUCUUCAACAUAAUCAUUCUCAAAUGCAUCAUUAGGAACCUGAUAAAUCCUCAUCUGUGGCUUGGCAGGAUCUUUCACAAGCACAUACUUUCCCUCUUCAAACUUCAUGCAGAUGUCCACAAUCGACUUGACAAUGCCCCACAUGUUUGCAGUGUUGAGGUUGAUCUGGGUAGCAAAAUCCCUUGGCUUGUAGCCCAUCACAGUGAGUAUGGAGUGGUUGAAGUGGUCGCGGGGGUGCACACGUGACACAUAACCCAACUUCAUCAUGUCAGCACCAGAAAGUAAAGCCUGGGCAGUCCAGCGAGCGAGCUUGUUGGCAUUGUUCUUGAGCUCUGUAGCAAGCACAGCACCACGCUGGGACUCGAGCUUCUGCUUCCAGUCAACACCAGUAAUCUUAGGAUCAAACUCAUUGAGUGCAUUAAGCGUGAGGAACUGGCGAGCACCACUGGGAUCAACACCAGCAGCAUGCACUUCACAGCGGGCAAUGAUGCUAAUAUCAUCAUCCAGCUUCCAGCGGCGAUAACGGUAGCAAACAGGCGCCGCCUCCUCAUUCUCAGAGGCAAACGGGUUAGGCUCAUCAAAGGUAACCUUCUCGCCAUCACGCACCAGCACCUGCUGCGAGAAGUUCUGGUUGAUGUAGGUGGCCUCGACAGCAAGGGCCGGCGCGGAAUUGAUGUCAUCCUUGUUCUCAGGGAGCUGCUCCUGCGCAGUCUCGUUGACAGUGAGCAGAUCGAGCUGGGAGCCCUCGCGCUUGUCGAAGAAGAGCUUGUUGCCGACGCGCUGCACGACAAUGUCCCAGGAGAGGAUGCUGCGGGGCGUGCACAUGAGGGCGGCGAGGAUGGCGUCGGUGGCGAAGACGGUGGCCUUGUCCUCCUCGGCGAGGCGGCGGAUGAUGGGGUCGUCGGUGGUGGUGAUCUUGAAGAACUGGCGGUUCUUGAAGCGCUCGAGGCGGCGGGCCGUCUUGGGGUUGACGCGGUCGUAGGCGCGGUCGUACGAGUCGACGGCGCCGCAGACGAGCAGGUCCUCGGGCUGGUCGGCGACGGCGAAGGAGAGCUUGGUGAAGUUGGCGAAGGGGAUCUGCUCGAGGAUGGUCCAGUCGGGCUGGAUGUCGACGGAGGGCUUGGCGGUGUUCUGCUGGUUGCCGCGGAAGCCCUGGUGGUGGUGGGAGCGGUGGUUCUGGUAGUGGCGCUCGCGGCGGGCGCGCUCCUUCUCGGCCUCGCGGCGCUUGGCCUCGACCUCCUCGUCGCGGCGCUGGGGGAGCUGGGGCCGCUGGUUGAAGCGCCACUUGGGCCCGAAGCGCGGGUGCUUGGGCGGCGGCUUGGCGUCGACGAGGCUGAAGGACGAGUCCUCGGCGGCGGCGGCGAGCGAGUCGUCGGCCGAGGAGAAGUCGAAGACCGAGUCGCGGGAGACGGCGGCCGCGCCGUGGUGGCCGUGCGCGCCCGGGUGGCCCGGGUUGCGCGUCCAGUCGGCGAUGCGGCCCAGCUUGUCGGAGCGGGAGAAGGGCGCGAAGGGGAUCGAGGCCGUCGCGACGGCCCCGCCCAGCAGCGGCGCCGCGCCCGGCAAGUCGGGAGGGCCCCAGCCGUCCGGGUUGAAGGGGACCACGCCCACGUCGAAGCCCAUGCUCGCGGCGGCGGCGGCGAUGCGGAUGGAUCCGGAGGCGGCGGCGCGAGGGUUGAGUGGGUUUGGUUAGGGUUGAGAUGCGGAGGAGGAGGACGGGACGAGGGGGCUUUAGGGUUUGGGUAAGCGAAUAUUUAUUUUCUGAUAUAUACUUGAGAGGCCUCUACCGGGCCGAUGGCCCACUUGUCAUCGUGUCGGCGUCCGAUUCCAGCCCGUUAAACAAGUGGAAUAUUUCUCCACAUGAAAAAAUAUCAUCGAUCGGAUAUCUCUUGACUAAUUUUUUUAUCAGAUCUCUGUUUUUUUUUUUUGUAUACAUGGAAAUGAAAUCAGAUCUCUCAACUUUUGGCUACGUUCUUUUCAAAAACAGAAAACAAAAACAGAUUUUAGGUGAUUGGCAGUGCUUGGAUUUCCUACAAGUCCAGAAAAAACGUCCUCCAGUUAUCUUGUUAUAUAAGUUCGGACCAUGUUUUGAAAUCAUGUCAUGAACACGUUUGGAAUUCAGCGAUUUCAAGCAAAAGCACUAGGGUUCCAAGACACCAUACACCAACAGACCAAACAUGAAUUACACGAUCCCUUCAUGAAAUUCCACGGAAUUCAAACGGUAAACCUUACAGCGGGGGAGUUCAGACAGCAGGCAGCAGCCGGUUCGACGUUCAACACAGUACCAGUAUAAGUUUCAGGCUCAUGCUUUUAUUCUGUCCGACCCGGACGACACUCGGUGCGACAUCAUCAUAAUGUUCUCGAUCCCAUACCGAACUGUUACAGGCAUCAACAGCCAUGGAAUGGCAUAGCGCGGUGGAUAACGGCAUGUCUGCGACACUUCAGUUCAAAAUUCAGCAGGCGUUACACGACGUCCAGAAUACUUAUUACUACUGCAACGAGACGGCAUGGGCGCAGCAAAUGGCAGAGUUCCGUUCAAAAAAGGCCAUGGGAGCUACUCGGUGGCUUCCUUGUUCUCGGCCGCCUUGGCCUCCUCGGUGGACUCCUGGGUCGGGGUCGUCACCUCCGUAGGCGAGUUGGCGCCCUCUGCAAUGGCAAAGAUGGCAAAGCGAUGCUUGUGAUGAUGGCAAGAUAAAUGUACUGGAUUGCUUGCUUGGUAUCUUGUAAAUAUGAAGUACCGUCGCUGUCAGUAGAUGCAUGAAGGAAUCGGCGUGAACGGGCUUGCUGCUGGGUAGGCUGCAGGAACAUCGAGGAAGAUGUAAGCGACCAAAUAAAUUCAGUGUAGCAUGCAAGUUAAUUUCAUAAUUAUUACCACAUUUUUGACAGCAAAAGGAUAGCUCCACAAGCAAAGACUUACUAACAAGAAUGAGGUGACAAAACGUGUAAUUGACACUGAAUCUAGUUUAAAUACUGGGCCAAAAAACUGGAUAUGUCAUCUAUUGGAUUGUUAGAAAGACUCCCAAAUGCGCAAAUGGACCAGCUAGCAGCUGGUGCCAAACGGAGAAAGUAUCAACAGUAGUAGUGUAGUACGUCUGAUAACAGAAUCAGCUCCACAAGCAAAGAAUUACUAACAGGACUAGCGGGCAGGUACCUUGAACUGAGUUCAUUUUAAACACUAUACCAAAAGAUGGAUAUGUAUCUAUUGGGUUAAUAGAAAGACCAGCAAAUACACUAAUGAAAGAGCUAGCGGAUAAUGUCAAACAGAUACAGUAUCAACAGUGGUAUAAUACAAGGUAAGCACAAUCAUGCAAACAAUGAGUGCCAGUUUUAGCACCUGUAAUUUCGGUCGAAGUGCUUCAAGCGGCCCUUUAGGCUUUUGAGGAUGUCCUCCUUGCUGCAGGAAACCAAACGAUCAGGUGAGCAAGAUCGCGUAGGUGUUGCAUUGCUUCCUCAAAAUCCAUAUAACUUCCGAAAAGAACAGUACAAUACCUUUCCCAGAGCCCAAUCAGCAGAAUCAAAGUAAGCUCGCUCAUGGUCCUGAUAACACAUUUUAACACAGGUGAAACUAAUGGAUAUGGGGCUAAAAUUAAUUUAUCUUCCCUGACUGCUUUAUACAUAGAUGACAUAAACAUUUAACAGUAGUAGGUAGUAAUAUAUUGAAGGCAAUGAUACCUUGGAUAUGAGUGGUGACUUUUUGGGCAGUACUCCUCCAUACUUUUUCUUGAUUACUGCUUCCUGCAAAUACUUGGUAAAGUCGGAUUGUGCUUAUGGAUAUAUUUUUGACAGUUUUACAUAGAAAGUAAAUUAGUAAAAUCGUACAGAUGGAAACAUGCAAGCACACAAGGUUAAGCAGUACACUUGUUAACAAAAGAUGAUACCUCUUGCUGUGCUGAUGGCAUCUCAUUUCCUUUAUCCUGGUUGGCAGUUUCCACUUUCACAUCAGAAACAUCUCCUUCAGGCCUCACCUGGCCAGUCGUAUCAUCAGAUGGCUUCUCCGACAUACUGUACGAAUGGAUGCUCAAACAAGCUACAAGAAGAUAGAUUUCUAUCAGAUAAUUUAUCUCAAUGCCAUCAAAAUUAGUAGGCAUAAAACACACCAGGGCAUAGGCAAAUUAGAAAGAAAUCUGAAGCAUAUUCUGGGAAGAUAUUGACAUUUCAACCAUAAUGUAGCAGUACAAAGAACAUGUUUACAUAAACACAUACUGGGAAGUCAAUGUAAUAAGACAUACAAAAUUUACUUUGGAAAAAUGGAGGUAAAUAAAACUGCAUAACCCAUCCUGAUCCUGGGGUAUCUCUGUUUUCGAAAAGGGAACCAGACACCAACUAAUACUGGCCCAGCUCUUCAACAGGUCUUGCAGUAGCGUUUCUAAGUCCUAACGUCAAACCUAACACCGGCAUACCAUCUUGAACCAAGGUUGUUGCUCGGUCAGGUACUGGGAGUGGGACAAGCAAUAACUGCAAAAGUGGACUAUUGUCCUUGACAGGACUGGAUGAAGGCAGUAAGCCUGAACCCAACAAAUGUACAUAAGUAUACCCCAGGACUUCAACAGAAGUACUUGAAGCCAACCAAAAAAAAAAAAGAACAGCACCUACGAUUUAACCUCUCCGUCUACGGCAAAUCAACAUUUCAAGAGUGCUAAAAUUUUUUUCAGAAAAAGAAGAGUGCUAAAUGAUAUAACUGCAAAAGUGGCAACGUUCUGAAUAGGGCCAUUGUCCUUGACAGGACUGGAUGAAGGCAGUCAACCUGCACCCGACAUUUGUACAUAAGUUUUUCGGACUUCAGUAGAAGUGCUUGAAGCCAACAAGUAACAAAGUACAGCACGAUUUAUCCUCGCUAUGCAUGGCAAAUCAACAAUCAGGAAUGCUAAAUGAUACCACGACAAGAUCUGCGAUCACUUGGGUCUGAUGCAUGACCUGCCACACAACCCAGUGCAGGGAACAGAGACACUGCUCACACGAAUGAUGUCCCUCUCUCCGGCCAACCUAUGAGCUACUCCGUCGGACAAGCUCCUCAAGCAUAUAACUCACGAACCAAUCAAGCUCUGGGCCGAAACUCUGGUGCCCCGAAAUUCCGCCCGCCCGUUCCUGGCGAGGCGCUGGAAGGGGAGGCGAGGCACGCGGCCAGAGCUACCGCCGCUCGUCUGAGGCCUACCGGGGGACGGAUCUAGGCGGCGCGCACGAGAUUCGCGGGCGGCGGCGAGGGCCUGGCGAUUCGCUGGAGCUCGUACCUCGGGAUCGGGCGGGGUCGCGGCGAUGCGGGACGCGGACGCGCGUCAGAGGCGGAGGAGGCGACGGAGACGCGUGGGAGGCGGAGGGAGGGAGGGGUCUGGGGAGCGAGGCCGCCGGCGGCGAGGCGGGGCUAGGGCACGGCGGUGGCCGGGCGGCGGUGGUAGGUCGCCAGGGGAGGGGGGAGGGCGACGAGGAGGAAUCGGCGAAGAAAUGCAAGGGACGGUGGAGAGCCGCGGUCUAUGAGUGGUAACUGAAUCUGAUUCCACCUUCUCUUUUUUUUUCUUUUCUUCUUUUUUCUUUUUUCUUUUUUUGCCACGAACGGAAUGGAAAAGGGUAAAAUGUGAAAGGGAGCAUCCUGCCAAAAAAAAUACCUUCAAAAGAACUCUUUCAGAAACUUCCUUUUUUUUUAAUUCGGACGCUUUUUGGGCCCGAUGAAGCGCAAAACGACGAUCGAUUUUUGACCGGGUCGAUUCAAAAGCCAUCGCCGCAUAUUUUCUUGAACACAGUACAUAAGCAAGCGCCCAUAUACACACGCAUACGCUCAUCCCUAUUUGAGGAACGAAACACGGGGGUAGGCUCUCUUUUUUCCGGAAUUUGAAAAUUUCCAAAUUUAAGAUGAUGUAUGUUAUCGAGCCCCAUCAUCCCGGUUGUUUUCACGCCUUAUCGUCGAACUACCGCUCAUAUCAUAGAGCGUAAAACAUGUCGAAUUCAAGGUUCCGGCGAUAUGAUGAGGAACUGGGAUUUCAAGUAGCGUUCACCAUCAAUCAUCGAUCAUCCAUGGUCUAUGAUGGUUUACCAAAGUCGAAGAACUCCCCGCAAAAAAUAAAGUGAUCGAAUAACUCAUCUUCCACUGACAAUAUCUUUAUUUAUAUUAUUACUCUCUCCCUUUUGGUUUGCCAAGGCAUAUGCAUUUUAAUUACUCUCUCCUUUUUGGUUUGCAAAGGCAUGUGCAUUUUUUUACUCAGGUCAAACGCUUUAAAGCCUGACCAAAAUUAUAGAAAAAACGUCAACAUCAACAAUACAGAAUCAAUAUCAUCAAAUACAUCAUGAAAUGUAUUCUCAUAGGAUAUGCAUGUGGUAUAUUUAAUUGUUUAUAAAUGUUAAAUAUUUUUCCCAUAAACUAGGUCAAACCAUGAAACCUUUGAAAAUUUUGGCUUCAGAGAAAAUCGUAUGCCAAAUAGGGAGUACAUUCUUAUAUCAAGGGGCUCCUCACUUUUCCUGCUCCUUUUUGUCCCUCCUUUGAGUUUGAUUGUGCCCGAGUCGACAAAAAUUGUCGUCAAAAUAUAAGAGAUGGGUGUGAAAUUGUUAUGGACCAGAAAAAAAAACUAAAAUCAAAGCCCCAUCCCUACCUGCGCGACUCCAUCGCGCACGAACAAUCUGCUGAGAUCUGUUGAUACCAAAGUUCUGGUGCAAAGACAAACAAGAGGAUCAACAAAGAGGGUCAGGGAUAAAUGAACACGAACACACAACCACUGUGCAAAGCAUACCGUACAUGAAGAUACAUAUAUCAGUAGAUUGCACUCUGGAGUAGCUCCUCCUCCCCUCGACAGUCGAGGCCUACAACAAGGGGUGAACUCUUUGCAACUCAGAACAGCAGGAUCACGUUGACAACUGUGAUGCAGAUCAUGGCCAGGGUCGCGACUAUCGAUCCCGGACGGAAGGCUCUACGCAACCCUCUGUUCCUGGUGAAGUACUGAAAGGCGAGAUACACAGCUAUCGCCAAAGAUAGUAUCCUGCCAGCUUGAGUUCCCCUGUGCACGGGAGGUAGGCAUCGGAGCGAAUGAGCAAGAACUAAUACCCUAACAGAUACAGUAGUGGCAGUAUAGCCAAAAUAGGGAGAAUGUUUCAUACCUCAGACUCAUCACCUGGUAAGGAGCAAUGAUGAUAAGCCACAUUGUUGAGAGCGGAAGCUCCAGCUCACCUGCCAUAGACAUAAAGCAUGCGCCGUAAGUAACAUACCCCGGGUUGUAUGUUUUAUCGAUUAUCCAACUCAAUGUUAGCCUGAUGUUUGAAUCCUCCUUGUCACUCUACCUGGAGUGGGUAAGAACAAGCGCACCAAAAUCGCAAGAAAAGCUGUCCAGAGUCCAUAUUCUCUCCUAACAUGAGGAUUUGAUACCAUAGUAUAAGCAGGGCAAGAGAGAGUAUUCUUAUGUGAAACAAAGGGGAAAUGUAUCAGAUAACUCCUUGCACCAAAUAGCAGCGUCUUACUUGAUCCAUGGGAUUACACUGCUAGGUGCUUGCUGUGCAAACCAUGGCAUGAGCCAGGAUUUGUGUAUGCCUGUCUCUUUAGAAACCAACAGCACACUGCAAAAGGCAAAAAAGUAACAAAUAAACUGCUACGCUUUGUUGAUACCAAACUUUUGAUGCCAAGAUGAGCAAGAGAUCGACAAAAGGGGGGAGAAACUGGCCAUCAGGAAGAACUGAAAACUAACACUGUAUCACACAAAGACAGAACUACUUCCCAAACCACACCGUACACGGUGAUAUAUACUAUCAGUCAUGUCACAACUCAGAGGUCAUUCUUAUUACGAUAAAACAAGCUACAAAGUCUGACAGGAUGAUGCGCUACAAGGUUUCUUUUUAUUUAUCUGCACUCUGAAGUAGCUCUUGGCAACUCAGAACAGCAGGAUCACAUUGAUAACUGCGAUACAGAUGAUGGCCAUGGUCGCAACUAUCGAUCCCUGAUCGAAGGCUUUUCCUAUUCCUCCGGUCCUGGUGAAGUGCUGAAAGGCGAGGUACGCGGCUAGUACCAACGACACUAUCGCGCCACCUUGAGUUCCCCU